rnacentral:lncRNA from 1 species
UCCCGGACUCCGUCCGCUCCUACAACCUCUCCGACGACGGCCGGUUCGCCGUCGACCUCGAGGGCCCCCGCUACGUCCAGUUCGACGGCCUGGUCUACUACCGACCGGCGGGUCACCGGGAAGCUCAGCUACGGCUCCAUCACGGACCUGAAGGGGAUCCGGGUUCAGCGGCUCCUGUUCUGGCUCGACGUCGACGAGAUCGGGGUCGACCUGCCCACCCCCUCCGACGCCGUCUACUUCCAGGUGGGGUUCGUCAACAAGAAGCUCGACGUGGACCAGUUCAAGACCGUCCACUCGUGCAGGGACAAGGUCGCAGGCCCGUGCGGCGGGACGUGGAAGCAAGGAAUUGAGGUAAAUCCGCGAGAGAUCAUGCGUGUGGAUGCGUAACUGCAUGUAUCGUCAUUAGGAAUUUUGGGCAGUUAGCUGCGAUUGAUCUGUUGUCAAUUUCUCUGGUGCUGAUUUUGAUCGUUUCUUCGUGGGUCGCGCGGUUCGUGUCUUCCUGACGGAUUUGUUGGCCUGAGAUUAUUGCUCAAUUCCUCAGGAAAGCUUCAUAUGUUGAAAUGUUUUAGCUUUUACUAUGUACUCAUGCGGAAAGUGAACAAUAUUUAUGGAACUGGUUGUUCCUUUAGUACAGAAUAGUUGCUUCUCCGUGAUCAACCUUUGAUGUUUAGGUGCAUGGUAUCGAAGUGGUUGAAUUAAAGUUACUCCUCCACCUAUUUGCAUAAGCUAUCUGAUGGGCUGUUCAUGAUAUAACGUGAGUUCAAUGCGGAGGUGAAGAUGGGGAAAAUCACGUUUCCAGUUUCUGUUUAUGGCUUUUACAUUAGUUGGGAGCCACAAAUUUUAGUACUUGUAAGGACCAACAAUGCAUCUCAUUCGUGCAGCUAGUUUUCUUUAUCAGCAUUCUGUGCUACUGGUUUGUUGACUUGAUUAUCGCAUGGCCAUGCACUAAGUAAAUACAACAGUAAGAGUGGAUACAAUGAACGGGCCUCCAAAUCCUCCACCUGUUCAUCCGUUGCAUCAUAUUAUGGUGGCCAUCGACCACCUCCGUCAUUCCCCAUGGCUGAUACGCGUCCAACAGCAACACCGGGAUCCCCGGCCGCGCCAGUUUCUGGAACGCCUUUUCCUGGUUAUGGACAACAUCCUGUCUUACGUUGACCGCCAUCAGCUCCUUCCGGCCACGGUGCACCGUCACAUAGGGGCCAACCAGCUUCAACCCCUCGAGCACCGCCAAUAUAUGGAUCUCCUCAACAUCCAUCAGCAUCACCUCCGCGAGUUUUUCAACCAACUCCGGCGGUUCAUCAACCCCCUACGCCGUUACUUCCUCCGGCUCCCCCGAGAGCGGUUUGCUCAGCACCGCCAGGACGUCGACUUGCUCUACCAGUUCACAUACAACAUGUAAGUCCACCACCUCCUUAUAGGCGACCAAGCCCACCCCCCGUGCAAUAAGUCAGGUCCCCAUUUUGUUUUCCUUUGCCCCUGUUUGCCACUUUCCUCACUAGUUGUAUCGCCACCACCUAGCUUCUUAUUUCCUCGAAAGAUGGGAACCAAUGAACCUGAUAACUUGUUCUUUGGUAUGACAAAACCAGAUUUCUUGCCAAACAUGGAGACCUUUGAGCUAGAUGUUGAUGCUGCUGACGCCCCUGCCAUCUUUAAUCCAGCAGGUUCAACAUCAGAUGAUUGGUCAACCUUCGUGUUCAUUCUCUCUCCUACAGUAGAACUGGAGUCCUAUUUAAGAGAUGAGCCGUAAGGUGGUGGCACUCAAAAGGCUUCAACUUAAUUCACCUUGCAUGUUUGCAUACAAUACUGAGAUAGACAAAGCACUUAUAUAGUCAAAGAAACAGAAUUUCCAAGCCAGUAUACAUUCAAGUUCAAGACAUUGGCAACGCUAUUCUUCUAAUUCAGCAUCCUUCCGAGGAAGACAGAUGGCUCGUUCACAAGCUAAAAAGAAAUGCAAGUUGAGAAACUCUGGUUUUCAUCCCAAAGAAGGUGCUAAAACUACCAAGUGUACAAAUUUUUUUUUUUUUUUUGUGUGGUAUAAAUAAUGGACGAUUGAUGCAUCUUAAUCCAAACAAGGCUUGCACACGCCCUCCACCUACAGCAAUGCUGUAUUUCUUCUAUCCUCCCACUUCUGAUGGGCUCCCCUCCCCUCCCCCACAACACAAAAAACAAGCCGGGGCAGGGGCGCCCCACCCUACCCUUCUCUCUUUCUCUCCCUCCCGCAUUACAAACCGAAAAGGUAAAAGUAAAAGCACAACCAAAUCCAUCAAGACAAGCAAGGAGAAUGGAAGGAAUCUUUAGCUUAUCAAUAAUUGACAAGAGCACGGAGUAAACUGAGAGAAUUUUAGACCAGUAGUUUUUUUCUAGAGCUAGCAAUUGUUUAACUAGCUCAAGCAUUUUUCAUGUGGUAGUAUACGAAGUAAUCAAUCAAGUGGCGCCACAAAAACAAGCCCACUAAUUAUGCUCCGUUGGCCAUUGGCAAAAUUGACAUAUAGAUGUGGUGAUUGCAAAAGUAACAAUAAUCGAGUCAUUCAUGAGGGUCAGCUACUCAAGUGUGCUUAUUCUACCAGUGAUCAACGAGGUCCCGUGAAAAAGGAAUAAAAAGUGGAGUUGCAUAAUUCACAAUAUAUCACAAACGCACAAGACUCUAGCAAAGUUAUUUUGAGAUCCAUCCGUGCCGAUCACGAAAUAUGUCCAAACAAGCAAAGCAAGCAACAAUUUCCACAUCUACUUUUUCUCGAAUCGUUCUCUACAUCAAGUCAUGCUCCCAAGUCCCAGCCCACAUCAGAACCUCCUCCAACCAUUCUCUCCUCUCGCCAGAACCAGAAACCGCCUUCGCCCAAUAUAUCGCAUCGGCAACACACUGCCUCAUAAAAAGAUACGACCACUUCGACCCGCCAAGACCAGCCCAUCGAAAUCGACGACACAAAUCAUCAAGAAACUGCACUGCUCAGUCAGUUUGAAACGCGUUCACCAUCCCAUAACCACUACCACCCAUCAAAUUCGACGAGGGGACUCCGGACCCGAUAAACAAGCCCCGAAAUUUCCACAUUCCCAAUUCCGGGUAACUUCGAACGCGGCCGGAGGGAACUAAUUCGAUCUUCUUACGACCACUGCCGACAAAAAGAACGCAAAAAACGCUCCGGGAAUCGAUCGCGACUGAAACUACAAGCGAAAUACAGGAGGAAUACCGAUUCACGCCGAGCCCAGCAUCGAGGGCUUCGCAGAGGAGAGUCGCUGGCCCUUUGGGGGUGAAGCUCGGGUGCGCGUCGAUUUUGAGCGGGCCCUCGAAGAUUUUCUUGACUUUUGGGCUUUUCUUCUUCUUCUUCUUCGUAGGCCAAUAUGCCUUUCUUCUACCUUCCGCGCCGACAAAUCGAAUGUGUCCGGCCGGCCAGUGCGGUGGCGGCAGGCCAGGUGGCGUGGAAUUUGAUCGUAGGUUCUAAUGCCUGCUGUUCCGAACAUGACGUAGGAUUGUCUAGACUCUAUUCUCAGUGGCACAUUAGUGUAACGGUGACGGCAGACGACUCAUUUAAAAUGAGCGAUAGUUAUGAUUCAAACCGAACAUUCUAUUUGUAUGUGCGGAUCUCCUAUGAUGAUGUCUAAGAGAGGAGGUCGUUGAUCCCGAUCAUCCCUUUUUAUCUUUUUCCCUUUCUUAAUAAAGUUAGGUGGCGUAGAAAUGAUAACACACAAAAUUUUUGACGAUAUUAUUUGACAGAAUAUUAAUGGUGCCUUAUUUGAUAUGAUGGAUUAUUUUCUUGUCACGUUAGAUCUUUAAAGGCGCUAUUGGAUGAAAUGUUAAUGAGAGCAGGAGUUAGACAUAGAGAUAAAAAUUUGUGAUUUCUUUUCACAAGGCCAAAAUGUAAUUAGGUGUGGAAUUAAGACUUGACAUGAUGUUGGUACUUCUCGAGAGAAUCGAUCAUUUGGUACUUCUCAAGAGAAUCGAUCAUUUAUCUCUUUAUCCAACUCUUCUCUUUGUUUUAAUUAUUUAAAAAUAUAUAUAGAUGUGUUUUUAACAUUGCUUUUGUGCAAAUUACUAAAAAGUCGAAGGAAAAAGGGAAAGUUCAACAGGAAAUUAAAUAAGAUGGAGGAAGAGGGGAGAAAAAUUGAUAGAAUAAGAUCAAAGAAACCAUUGAAAAAUGAAGGUGCGAUGCAUUUCGAAUCUCUAAUCCCUUUUUAACAUGGAAUCAAUUAAAAUAUUAAAUAACCAUGAGUAAAAUACGUAUUUAAGCGUAGAUACAUACGGCAUCAAUAUAUUGCACACGCAUAAAACACACAUCGUAAUUAUACCCUAGAAAAAGUACUUCAAGUUUUAGCCUAUGUUUACUUUUUUAAUCAGUCAAUUAAUUAUGUAAUAUGUCAAUUAUCCCUCCCUCGUGUACCGAAAAUAUCGAUCAUUAGAUGCUGUCUUCACAAAAACAAUAUAUAUUUUUUUUUGGUAAGGUAAAAUAUACAAAAACAAUAUAUUGAUUUCCUGUUUAAAGAAAGACGAAUUAUUAAUGGAACUCAAUCAUUAGAUGCGACGUGUAUGUAUAUAAAACUUUGUAAUUAUAGUGGUCCUAAAUUGAUACGUGAUUUUUUCUCGUUCAUAACACAAGUGAUUUGAUAAGCUUGUGAUAAUAUGAAGUUUGGAUUGUAUGAUAAUAAAUUCGAAUUUUUAUUGCAUUUUUUAUUAAAAAAAAGAUUUCUAGCUGGUCGCAAUUCAUGAUGAGUAAUUACAGUCUCCUAUAUUAGUAACAAACGCUAGAACACAAUUCAUCAACAUAAAGCUAGAGGGUUGUUUAAUUAUGUUUGGAUAGCAAUUUUUUAAAUGGUCUUUAGGGAAAAUUCUAAAUAAAGGUCCAAAAUGCUUUCAUUUUCUCAAACGAGGGCUUGAAGUCAAUAUUGUUUCAAAUAAUGAUUUAAAGUGUCAUCAAUUUCUCAAGGACUUGAAGUAAACAUUAUUUCAAAUAAGAAUCUGAAGUGACUAUAUCAAUCUCAAAUAAGGGCUUGAACUCACUAGUUAUGAAGGAUGAUUUCAUCUUUUUAAAAUUUUUCCUUUUUCCUUUUUUCUAUUUUUUGUAAAAAAAUGAACUAAAUAAAAGUAAAACUUAAGAAAAAUAAAUAAAGGAAAAAAAUAAGCUCCCUCCCGCUUGUGGCCACCACCCCAUUGUCGGUGGGGUAGUGAUGACGGCAAGCAAGGUCGCUGGCACUUGGGUGAGGCCCAACGACCCUUGUCAAUUAGAGGCGUGGGCCUGCUAGCCCUAGUGAGAGACAAGAGAGGGCAAAACCCUCUAUCAAUCUAGGCAAGGGUUGUCGGCCCUCACAUCGGCAUGGCGGCCCUUGCCUAGGGCCCCUAAACCUUACCACCUAGGUUUGAAGGUGUUGGUUGAGGGCCUCGCCCAAAUCUAGGAGAGGGUCACCACUCUCUCCCUACCUUGGCUAGGGCUUACAAGCCCUUGUCGUGCCAGCCCUUACUCAAGCAGUAGCAACCUCUUCGAGUGUUGCUGAGGCCCCACCAGCAAGGGGACGUGCAGCCAAAGGCGAGAAAAAGCCCUCCUGUCAGUUAUUCUCCUUCCUCUUCUUCUUUUUUUUUUUUUUUUAAAAGUUUUAAUAUAAUUAAAUUAAAAAUUAAAUUGUGUUGGUCAAAAAUACCCUUGAUGGGUUGAAAAUUUUUGCUAACCGGCGAGUCGAUGAAACUAGGUCAUUAUUUGAAACAAUGAUAACUGCUUUAGGCCUUUCUUUGAGAUUAAUAUUCGGUGGCUUUCCCCUUUCAAAAUUUCUCUCAUUCUGUUAGCCGUACAGCUAGUGAGCUAUGUCACAUAGGCAGCUCUCCUAAGUUUUUUCAUUGGAUUCUGCAAAGAAAAAACUUUAGGAUCUUCCAUUAAAGUAUCGUGGAGACAAUAACAAGGAGCCCGGCAACAUCCAAAAUAUUUGAGUAAAUGAUAUGGUUCCUUAUUCCUUGGGAUUCCAGUUGCUGGAGGAGACUCUUUCUGUGUAGAACGUGCUGAACUGGCUCUUGAACUGUUUAAUUAACAUUGAGAAACUUGAGAACCAUUUCAGUGUGAGCUUCUUAUUAAGUGAAUAUUUGACUGGCUUGAAAGCGGUGUGAAGGUGUAAUGUCUCCUCUACACACUCUUUCCCUGCGCUGAUCAGCAAGGUGUCUUCGGGUGCAUGUAGCUUGGACCAGGGCAAAAUCGACCGUGGCUUUUGGUCAGGAUGCUUCAGAACCCACAAGAAGCUAAGAUGAUUUGUUAAUAAAAAAAAUCUAGCUUAGGAUGUACUACUGUUUGCUCAAUAAAUUGAAACGUCCAAGGAUUGAGAUAAUCAGUCCUUGGACCAAUCGCUCAUUGUUAGCUGCCGUAAUGUUAGGAGGACCAAGGUUCUGAAAUUUAUGCAGGUCUACCUACUUAUUUACAAUGUAGACAUGUCAAAAUGGGUCUUAAACUUAUUUGUGACCCAAUUUUUUUUUUUAAAUGGGUCAUAUGGGUCACUUCAAAAUUGAAAUGCACACCCUUAAUGGGUCUUAAAACUCAAAGGUUAAAAUAAAUGUGUCUAUUCAGCUUAAAACCCAUUUUCAACUCACUUGGAUUUUGAAAUUAUGCAGGUUCACUUGCUGUCCGCAACGCUAGAUAUGGAACUUAGCAUGCGGAAUUUAAUCAUCUAAUAUUCAUUUUUAAUUGAAAGAGCAGUUCUAGGGAAUUGCUAUUGUGGAUCUAUGUACAAAGAGCUCCUUGUGAACUUAUGAUGUAGAAUUUAAUCAAGUGAUAUUUCAUUUUUAAUUGAAAUAGUAGUUCUAGGGAACGGCUACAGUGAAUUUAUGUGCAAAUAGCUUGUUGUGAACUUGACAAGUGGAAUCAAAUCGAGUAAUAUAUCAGUUUUAAUUGAAAUAGCAGUUCUAGGGAAUGCUUAUUGUGGAUUUAUGUGCAAAGAGCUUCUUGUGAACUUAGCAUGUAGAAUUUAGCCAAAUAAUAUUUCAUUUUCAAUUAAAAUAGCAGUUCUAGGGAAUGGUUAUUGUCGAUUUACGUGCAAACAACGUCUUGUCGUGUGUGGAAAUACUCUUUGGACUCUGUUUCGCCUAAAAAUUUGAAUUGGAACUUAAACCUGACAGAGAUGAGACAAAAGUUAAUUUCUUGAACCACCGAAUCACACAUCUUCAUUAGUAAUAAGCUUAUACCUGAUCUCCAUCUGCAACUACAAUUUUGCCUUCCAGCAGUGUAUAUCUAGAUUUAGUGUCCCCAACACCAUCACCAUACGGAGAUAACAUAAAUAUAUAGUGACACGAAAUGCCAAAACUUUUAACACAAAAACGUUGAACCAUUGCAAAUUUAACAUUAAAGCUGCUGUGAACAUAAUUGAAAUUGGAGGUGGAGUAGUUAUUCAUUAAAACUCUUAAAUAUAAAAUUAGAUUGGAGAGAAAAGCUUCCAGAUUUAAAAUCGAGAGAGAAAAGUUCCUGGAUCUAAAAUUAGAUCGGGAGUGCAAUAAAAGAAACAAAAGGAAAUAAAAGGCUGCCACAUUUAAGUAGUGGAAUUUGCAGUAAUUUCAUAGAGAAGAAGCAUACCUCCCAACCCUAAACAUCGCCAAACGAUCGCUCGUCUCACAUCAUUAGUUGAAUCGAGACAUGUGGAGGCCGAAUCAAUGUCACAUGCAAGAGCCAUACCAAACAUCCUAAGAGAUGGAAUUUGUCAAAGCGUGCCUAAUUUAAAGCAGUGCCAUACAAUGCAAAUAAUACCAAAAAGUGGGGAUUUAAAAUAUAUUGAAAUUUGAUGCAUGAAUACAGUUUGAACAGCUAUGGUAGAAUUGAAUUCACAAAGCAUGCAACCACACAAAAAUUUCCUCAAAACAGGCGGGAAUGUCCACAGUUCGCCGCAGGAGCAGAAACUAAAAGAACAAAUUCAGUUCUACUCCGAACUUCAUUUCUUCAGGGUUGACUUUGGAGCUUUCGAGUGGAUAAGGUCUCGACAUGACGCGAGUUAGAGACCUCACUCAGAAAGCUCGAGACCGAACUCGGGUCAGUCAUUUCUUGCACCAUUGAAACAAACGAAACACAGCACAUAAAACAAAGACAACCCUCUGGUGAUCAGUGUCAGAUGUCCCCCGAAGUUCCCCCAAACACUUCAGUAGGGCUGUAGUUGAGACAAUCCUUUAUUCUGCAUGAAGGACCAUGCGCCCCAGUGAAGUGAUCAGGGGAACUCCAGGGAACAGCUGACUCUUUUUUGCUCUUCUUUUCCUUCUUCCCUGUGUUUUGCCUGGAUGCUGAGGGUGCACUAAGUAAGGACUGCUAUUUAUAUGGAUAACUUAGUACCGGUAAUUCCUUAGAAAAAGAAGGCUGGGUUUGGUGGGGGAAACUGGAAAAGAGGAGAAAUUUAUCAAUCCUAGGUUGGCCGAAAUGAACCUGGUCAGAUUUGCUGGGUAGAUCGAUAAGUUGGGAGAGGAAUCAUAUCAAGCUGAAUGUCCACAAGUUUUGUUGCUAUCGCUUUUUCUGGAUGUGAAAGUUCUGCGUUUAGAUUUCUGGCAUUUAACAUGCUGGGAUUGCUCUCGGUGCUUCUGAAUAAAGGAUAAUUAGCCCUGGUAAUGUGGCGGAAAAUAUGAGUGACUCGAAUCCACAUGUUAGGUGAAUGACCUCAAAAACAAGUUUGAGAGGGUACUUGCAUGCUUUACAUCAAAAGCAAUGCCGGAGUUAUGGGUAAUCUGAUAACUUCACUUGUUUCAGAUGAUAUGGUGAUUAUUGAUUAACCGUGUGCACUGUCAUGUUUUAGGCGAGACGCCAAUUACUCUAAAAGUCAAUUAUGACCCAAGUUAUGUUUUGAUUUAGAAAUUUUAGUCUGCCAAGAAUUCCUGUGGUGCAAGGAAUAGCAUGCUUUUUGAGAUAACAUUUGAACUUUUGUGAAUGACCUCAAAAACAAGAGAUGAUUUGCUUUUUGGGACCUGGACCAUCUGAUGGGAUCAGAUCCAUGCAAUUAACAGAAAUGAAUCCGGUCGUCUUCAUGCGUCAGAUGAGCAGCAAGAAUAUUAUUUGAUGGCAUGCUGCCACAAGCUUUUUUUCUCCAUGCCAGCCUUGUCUUGCUUGCCCCAUCCGCUCCAGUCUUCUCUUUACCCUUACACUUGAGGGGCUCUUUCAUGCUUUAUUAGGUAUUGGAACUAAAAGGGGAAGUUAACGCGAAAAUACAGAAAAUAACCACUAUAAAAGGGAACAGAAAGAGCUUGGACAAAAACCAGUAGAAUUACGAAUCCAUCGAUAAAAAUUCUGUGACAUCUCGUCGUAAAUAAUGUCUCAAGGACCAUAGAAUUACAAAUUAUAGAUACUAGUUACAUCAGUCAAGGAUGUCUCGAACACUUUAAAGGAUUUCCAACUUUGAAUUAAUAGAGGUUUUCACUUAAACAAUUCAUACACAUCUGAACAUCCAGAUCAUACAUUUAUGUAGUAUGUCCAGUUGACAGAACCAUAUUCUUUGGUGCUAGGUGAAAUGGAACUUCAAUCACAAACACUUUUGUAAUCAUCUAAUGAAAACUGGAUUCUGAAGGCCAAGAAAGUGGAUGCUCGGUGGCAGAUGAAGCAGGCCGAAAAACCGGCAAAAUUCAUGCUGAGCCACAAAUUAAUCACUAGAUUGUCAGAAGACGAGGAAAAAGCGACUUGAAUCUGAUAAAGAAGUAAAAAGGAAAGGAAUCGCAUACCACAAUAAUUCAUGUCGAUGCAUUCCGGGGACUUUCAUGUUGCUCAGAGGCACGUCUAGGUACAUGGCAAGAGCCUUAUCCUGACACACAAUGCUCCUUCCUCAAGUGGAGCAGUUCCUAUAUAUAGAGCAGUGCAUUGUUUCUUUUGCUCAUCAACUCAAGGCAGAUGACUCACUAGAAGAGGAGAUGAACAAUAUGAAUCGGGUGUCCCCUAGAGUUCCCCCGAACACUUCAAUGGGACUUUCUAUGAAAGCACUUCCCAAUGAAGUGUUUGGGGGAACUCCUGGUGUCGCUUGAUGCUAUAGCCGGAACUGAACACAUAGCAGAAAACUCUUUUGAGGCAGUGUGUCACUGUACCCUUAUAUCCCUGCUAUAUCAGACUUCAUCCUUUGAUAUUCGGUGGCUUUCCUCUUUCAAAGUUUCUCUCAUUCUGUUAGCCGUACAGCUAGUGAGCUAUGUCACACAGGCAGCUCUCUUAAGUCUUUUCAUUGGAUUUUGCAGGGAAAAAACUUCAGGAUCUUCCAUUAAAGUAUCACGGAGACAAUAAUAGGGAGCCCGACAACAUCCAAAAUAUUUGAGUAAAUGAUACGGUUCCUUAUUCCUUGAGAUUCUAGUUUGGGGUUUUAAGUGGUUUUUUCCUUAUUUGAAACAAUGAUUACUACUUCAGGCAUUUCUUUGAGAUUAAUAUAACAACUUUAGGUCUUUAUUUGAAACAAAAUUAAUUUCAAGCUCUUAUUUAAGAAAAUGAUGACACUCCAUAUCCUUAUUUGGAAUUUUCCCUAAUUUUUAUUGAGAAACAUCGUUUGGGCAAUUAUAAAUAAAAUUAGUGACGUAAAAACAAAACCCAGUGUAAUCAAUUAUCUUGAUAGCCAAUUUUUUUUUUCAUAAUUUAAAAUGCAAUUGUGCUUAUUUCUAAUUUCAGAGCAACAAGGAGAAAUUUCAGUGCCUAGAGGUCCCAAAUCUCUUCUAUAAAAAACUAAUAUGUAUUUUCUUCUUCCUCGUAAUGAAGUCGAUUGUGAUUCCUAAAGUGUGUCUAAAUAUGUUUUUUUUAUUUAAUAAGAUAAAAGGUUUUAUGCAUAAACGGAAAGACGAUACACCUUAGUAAACAACCUCUAACGAAACUCACUACUUCCAAAAACUGAUUGGGAUCUUGCAUUUACAAAGUACUAAAUGAUGCCGCUAGACCAUCAUCACUGUUGAUAGUAAUAACAAUAGUUGGUUAUUAUUAUGUUAUAGGGACUCGGCUUUUUUCCAUUCGGUAUUAAAUUGACAUUUUCAAUUUUGCACUCUUAUAAGUACAAUGCAACGAGUCGCUUAAAAAUUAAUAAUUGAGGUGCAUUUGCAAUGUUGUUCCAUUUUUUCCCCUUUCCUUCAUGUUCUUCGAAAAACCCUAUGGUACCCUCACCACUAAUUACAAUCGCUGCCAUCAAUCCCCGUAGUAAAUCUCCAACCACCGCAUUAUUGCCAGCAUCUCUCUCCCACAGCCGCACUCGUUCGAGAUCACACAAGGAUGAGCCCCGUCGUGAGGUCGGCUUUCGUGGAUGGAUCCAGGAUUGGGGAAUUUCAAUCUCGAAGUUUUUAUACGUGUGAUUUUUAUUAAAUCAAGAGGCAUUUCAAUCUCUGUCGGGAUUAAUCAAAAAGCAAACAAAUUCUCUAAUGGAGUGUCGCUAUCAGGCAUCGUUCAAACAUGUUGGAAUCACGUCGGGUGUAUGCCCGAUUUCCAUAUAAGACGAGGCCUGUGUGCAUCUAUUGUUAGCACGCAUUGGACUUAUACACGAGCCAUCCCCUCUGCAGCGAAUUUCAUGAAAUGAGAGAUUUUCAUUUAUUCAUUAGAAUACUUGUUCUUUUAUCUUUGAUUAUCAUUAAGAUUCGGAAAAAUCUCAAAUAAGGACCCAAAGUGAGCUUACUUUCUCAAAUAAGGAUUUGAAGUGACCAUUAUAAAGACCCGGAGUAGCUAACAAGUCUCAAAUAGGACCUAAACCCGCUGGCCAGCCAAAAUGUUCACUGGCCAGCAAGCGUGUGACAUUUUCGAUGGCCGGAAUAUGGGCAAUUUUGUCCCAAAAAAAUAUAGAUAGAAAUUAACAAAUCCUAAAAACAAAAUCCUCCAACUCUUCGCGUUCUUCUUCUUUUGUUCUUUAUCUUUGUGAAGAGCAGAAGAAUUCCUCCUACCAUCACCAUCCUCGCUGCCAUAAAACAAAAGAAUUCCUUGUACCAUCACCAUCCUCGCUGCCAUUUGUGUGAUAUUCCGCCACAUGCCGGUGUCUUGUCAACAUGUUGCUUCGACAAGUUACAACCACUUUGAACGAACGAAGGAUCAAUUGCAUUAAUUUGAACAAAACUAACCUCGUUUGAAUGGAAGUGUGGAUGAAAGUGUAUAGCAAACCUAGGAAAAGAUAAUGAAGAAUUGAGGCCCUCGUGUUACACACGAGUGUCUCAAUAACGAAAAUACGACUUUACUUGAGAUUUGUCUUAUUCGUUGGAAAGAAACGAAGACAUAAAAAAAAGAAAAAAAAGAGAGAAGAAGAUGUGAAUAAACGAAGGUAGGGGUUUCUUGUUAUGUUUCGAUUCAUGUUCCAUUAACAGAAAAUUCCAAUGCUUCAAGCGAGAGAGGACAAAGAAUGGAGAAGAUGAAGAGCAAAAGAAGAAAAACAUGAAAACGUAAACGUGAAAAGUUUUUUUUAGGUCAAAAGAAUGUAAGAGUUUGAGGGAUUUUGUUUUUAGGAUUUGUUAGUUUCUAUCUAUAUUUUUUGUGGACAAAAUUGACCACCAGAAAUGUCACACGCUUGCCGGUCAGUGAACAUUUUGGCCAGCCGGCGAGUUCAAAUCCUUAUUUGAAACUUGUUAGCCACUUUGAAUCCUUAUUUGAGAAGAUAGACUCACUUUGGGUCCUUAUUUGAGAUUUUACCCUAAAAUUCAUUAAUUGGAAUUUGACACCUUGGAGCUUCCCUCCGGUUUUUCUCUCUCUAAACUCUCGUCUCCAUCCUCGCCCUCUUCCCUCCCCUUUCUCUCUCUCUAUACCUAACCCUAGCUCCCCUCCGAUAGUCUACGAUCUCCUCCCCAAGUUCAGCCUCCCUGGCGGCCUGCUUCCGGACUUCGUUCGGUCCUGCAACCUCUUCGACGACGGCUGGUUCGCCAUUGACCUCGAGGGCCCCCGCUACGUCCAGUUCGACUACCUGGUCUGCUACGACCAGCGGGUCACCGAGAAGCUCAGCUACAGCUCCAUCACGGACCUGAAGGGGAUCCAGGUUCGGUAGUUCCUGUUCUGGCUUGAUGUCGACGAGAUCGCGGUCGACCUGCCUCCCUCCGACUCCGUCUACUUAUAGGUGGGGUUCGUCAACAGGAAGCUCGCCGUGGACCAGUUUAAGACCAUCCAUUCGUGUCGGGACAAGGUCUUCGGCCCCUGCGGUGGGUCGUGGAAGCGAGGGAUCCAGGUAAAUCCGCAAGCGAUUAUGCGUGUGGAUGGAUAAAUUCAUGUGUCUUCGUGGGGAAUUCUGCGGAGUUUGUUGCGAUUAAAAUGCUGUCGUUUCUUUGGUGCUGAUUUUGAUGGUUUCUUCGUGGGUUGGGAUUCGUGUCUUCUUGAGUUCAGAUGGAUCUUGUGGCAUUUGAAAGCUACGUCGAUUGUAUCGCUUUUGAGAUUGGUAGUUGCUGCUGCUGCUAGUUGUUUGCUUACGAAGAAGCGUGUUGAAAUUCAAGUCAGUGGAAGACGACUUACCUUUAUCCAAUGCACAAACAACAAUUAGCCCCGGAACAAACGUUGAAUCGCGGAUGAAUCAUGAACAAAAACACUUCACUUUGGUCUGAAUGCAAUCAUGAGGAAAGCAUUCGAUUUCCAUAGCGUAAAUACCGGUUGUUCUUUGUAAAAGUCAAAUGAAAUGCCUUCUUCUUUGAUGGAAAGGGAGAGAAAUUUUUGUGCGAAUGAUCUGCCAACCGGUGCCAAUGGUUGUCUACAAAAAACUUAUAUACGACACCCUUCAUACCCUUUCAAAAGUUAUAUUUCCAUCGUAACGUAUCAAGUCGAUAUGGUGCGAUUUAAUUGCACCCCAUCAUGGACGUACUAGCUAAAGUACAACAUCUCUCACUCGGACAUGAUGGGCUUGAUAGCGCUCUAUCAAGAAUAUGAGACAUUCAACAUUCAUCAACUUUACAAAACAAUUCAUACUGGCAAGUAAGCCGUGCGAUCAGUGAGUACACCUGCACUUAGGAGCUCAAAUUAUGCACCUGUUAGGGAUGACACAAUGGCUACAACCCCGAAAAGAAAUAAACAAUCGAUGUCUCACAGUGCCCCAGACAUAUUUUGUUACAUCAAUCCAAGUAUACCUAUCCCUUAAAGGCUAUACUUGAUUAUUCUCAAAACACCAUGUAUUUACAAUUAUAUCUGCAACCACAUAGGGCGAUAUAAUUGGUCGACCAGCAAAUACAUGUGAUAGAUGUAAAAUAACAAUAGCCUUCCUUCGCACUCAUGUUUCUCUCCAUUUCAGAACAAUUGCUUUCCUAGACACGUUCCAUAAGGCCAUAUCUAUUCAUGACUACCGGUAACAUACUAAAGUAGCAACAUUGAUCUUUCACUUCGAGAACAUAGUCAGAAGUAACAUAGGACACAAAAUUGAGGUAAAUUAUAAAUUACCUCAAGGGCUCACACGAUGAGUAAAUAAGGAUAAUUGUACUCAUCUUCCCUUAUUGGUCAUACAAUGCACAUGUAGUAUGAAUUACAUGAUAUAGUGGAUUUUUCUUUCUAUAAGAGCGUACGUCAUUUAUUAAACAUAUCCACUAUAUGGAUCUUAGCCUAAACAUAGUCAUGUGCUCCUCACGUACUCAUGUUUAGCUCGAGUGCUAUAUCAGCUCACUUUCUAUAGCGCCAAAUUAAGUACUCACAUCCGACAUCUUACAAGCAUACCUGAUUAUGGGACUAUCAUGUUCGGUCUUAUUAUAAAUAAAUCACAGACCUCAUCUUGACUCCAAUCAAGGCGACAUAUCAUUUUAUGUAUUAAACUUGCUCCUCAGCGUUUAUUUGUACAUAACGUCUCAUUUCAACUUGCUAUCUAAAGCACUUGAGGCGAUUGCUCGUGUGAGUGAGCCAGUCAUUGCUUACUGACAUACUUUUUCAAUAAUAUAUGUGUGUUUGUGCAAGUCUCAUAGUGGAUUUGUACUUAUUGAUAAAAUAUCAAAUCACUAAUAAACAAACAAGUACAAUACAUCUGUCCACAAAUACAUAAACCAAUGAUCCUCCACAAUAACAUAUAUCACAUUCUACGCAAUCCUAGUGACAUCUUAUGGGUCAAGAAUAUGUCUCUAGGAAUAGCCUUCGUAAAUGGAUCAGCAACCAUUCUAUUGGUUGAAAUAUAUUGUAGGAUCACUUCUUUCUGCACUAUUAUAUCUUUUAUGAAGUUGUCCUUUAUGUCAAUGUGCUUUUUCCUUUCAUGAUACUUGGGAUCAUUCACAUAAGCAAUGGCUGCUUGACUAUCACAAUAAACUAUCAUCGGUCUUGGAACUUCAGUGAUAAUGGCUAAAUUUUCCAAGAAACGUUUUAGCCAUACUGCUUCUUGCACUGUAGUAGAACAUGCAAUAAAUUAUGCCUCCAUCGUAGACAAGGCCAUGCAUGUUUGUUUCUUGCUAUUCCAAUAAAUUGCAUCUCCAUUGAAUAAGAACGCAUGUCCAGAAGUCGAUUUACGCUAAUCAAGGUCUCCACCCCAAUCAGCAUCUAAAUAACCUAAUAGGCGAAAAUCACUCCCUUGGUAACAAAGUCGAUAGUCCAUGGUGCCCUUCAAGUAUCUUAGGAUCCUCUUCACUGCUUUCCAGUGUACUUGACUGGGAUUUGAUUGAUAUCGGCUUACCAAUCCCACGGCAUAACAUAUGUCAGGUCGAGUACACAUCAUAGCAUACAUCAAACUUCCGACUGCACUAGAGUAAGGAACAGUUUCCAUUAAUUUAAUUUCUUCUGGAGUUUUAGGACACAUCUCAGUACUUAGGCUUUCACCUUGCAUGACAAGGGUAUCAAUGGGAUUACAGUGCUGCAUAUUAAAACAUUCAAGAAUCUUCAUAAUAUAAGACUCUUGUGAUAAAGUAAGGAGUUUCCUUGAUCGAUCUCUUUCGAUCUUAACUCCUAAUAUAUAAGCAGCUUCUCCCAUGUCCUUCAUCUCAAAAUUGGAGGACAAUCAUUCUUUUAUGGUGAUAACUAAAACCUUGUCAUUUCCAGCCAACAUAAUAUCGUUCACAUAAAAUGAUAAAAUCACAAAUUUAUCUUUGGACCGCUUGACAUAUACACAGUAAUCUUCUUCGAUCAUCGUGAAACCAAAAGUUAUUAUUGCUCGAUGAAAACGAAGAUACCACUGUCUAGAUGAUUACUUAAGGCCAUAUAUUGAGCGAUGAAGCUUGCAAAUUUUAUGCUCUUAACUUUUAGCUAUGAAACCUAUUAGUUAUUUUAUAUAGAUUUCCUCAUCUAGUUCUCCAUUGAGAAAUGCCGUCUUUACAUCCAUUUGAUGUAAUUCAAGGUCCAAAUGUGCAAGGAUAGCUAGAAUAAAGCGUAUUGAGGCAAACCUUACAACUGGUGAAAAAGUUUCCCCAUAGUCUAUACCCUCUUAUUGAGUAUAACCUUUUGCCACAAGGCGAGCCUUAUACUUUUCAAUGGAUCCAUCCGCUCUACGCUUAAUCUUGAAGACCCAUUUGUUUCCAAUGGUCUUACGAUUUUGUGAUAGAUCAACCAAGCACCAGACAUGAUUUGCCAUCAUAGACUCCAUCUCAUCUUCCAAAGCUUUUCUCCAUUCUUCUUUAUCAGAGGAUGAGCGAGCCUCUUGAACAGUCUUAGGCUCAGCAUCGUCUUUUUGAGCAAUUAUAAAUGCUUCACCUUUAAUCUCAAAAUGACGACGAUGAAUACUUUUACGAUUACUUUUACGCAAUUGAAUUUCUCUUGAGUUCAAUUCAUCAGGCGAUGUAACACUCCCACUAGGUCUUGUGUGUUGAGGUAAAUCUUCAUUUCCCUCUAUAACAUCAGUGGGUGUGUUAUCAGGAUCUUCCAUCUCAUAUAAUUAGAAAUCCUUAUCAAUCUCAUUUCUAUUAGGAAAAUCGUUCUCCAAGAACGUGACAUCUCGUGACUUCAUUUCGAUUACACUUCCAUCAGCUUGUUCACCUAUGAACACGUAUCCUUUAAAGUAUUCGGAAUAUCUUAUAAAUAUAUAUUUCUUCCCUCUAUGACCUAAUUUACCAUAUUUAUGGGAAGAAUCAUGAACAUAAGCUGCACAUCCCCAUGGACGUAGACUACUCAAGUCUGGUUUCCUACCAAUCCAUAAUUCAUAAGGGGUGGAAGUGACCGAUUUUGAGGGCACUCAGUUAAGUAUAUAGGCAACAGUUAAUAACGCAUCUUCCUAAUAGGAGAUAGGUAAAUUUGCUUGCGUCAUCAUAGACCUAACAAUUUCCAAUAAGGUUCUAUUCCUUCUCUCAGCUACCCCAUUUUAUUGUGGAGUACCAGGAAUAGUCAAUUGUCAUACAGUUCUCUUUUCAUCACAAAGAGCCUUGAAUUGCUCCGAUAGAUACUCACAUCCACGAUCGGUUCUCAAUGCCUUUAUUGUUUUGUUCAACUGAUUCUCUACUAUCGCUAUAUAUCAUCUAAAGCAGUCUAAUGCUUUUGACUUAUGGGAGAUUAGAAAGACAUAAUCGAAACGUGUGAAGUCAUUUAUGAAAGUGAUGAAAUAUGAGGCUCCAUGCCUCGACCUCACAUUCAAAGGACCACAAAUGUCAAAAUGUAUGAGAUGCAAUGGAAAUUCAGCUCUAGUUCCUUUAUCGAAUGGUUUUCUAAUUGCUUUUCCCGCUAGACAAUGUUCACAUACGGAUAGACUAACAUUAGUGAGUGACCCUAAAAUGCAUUCUUUAGCUAAUCUUUGCAUUCUUUGCAAUCCAAUAUGACCUAAUCUAGCAUGCCAAGUACUUGCAUCAAUCUCAACAUUACUAGAAGAUGCAAUUAAAGAAAAACAACCAUUGACAUUAACAUUAUACUGAUCAUAAUCAAUGUCUAACACCAUAAAAACAUUCGAUACAUGACCUGAACCAUAAUAAACUGUUCCAUACAAAAUGUCAACACAAUCACCAUGGAAAUUCAAUACAUAACCUAAGCUAAGAAGAACAACUACAGAGACCAAGUUUCGUCGAAUAUCUAGAGCAUAAAGGACAUCAUGCAAGAAUAGGUUUUGACCACCACGUAAGAUUAAUUUACAUGUGCCGAUACCAUUCACUUCAACUCUUGAGUUAUUCCCAACAUAUAUACACCUUCUUCCAAGCUGUAUCCGACGAUACUCCACAAAUGCUUCUCGGUCUCUAGCUACGUAGUCUGUUGCUCCCGAGUCUACAAUCCACAUUGGAUGAGAUUCAGCAAGCAUUACAGUACUAGAAACAAAAGUUUUACUCAAAGUAAUGAAGUAAUAGGGUACCUUUUUUUGGCUUAGUGCAUUCACGAGCAAAGUGGCCCAUCUUGCCACAAUUGUAGCACUCCAUCUUGGUCUUGUCCUUCUUCCCACCAUACUUCUUGUGUUGGAAGGUCUUAGCCUUUUUAGUACUUGAUUAGUCUUCUUUCCUUGUUGUUGAACUAAAGAUUCCUCUUGCGCUUGAAGCCUGAAGCCUUUCGCGAACUCGAUUCAGCAACAUAAACAUGGGUAGAGGAUCUCGCAGCCUCUAGGCGCUCAUCCUUUAAUUCCAAAUGACGUGCAAUAUCAUCAAAAGUGACAAUAUUCUCAUUAUGCGUCAUAUUGAUCUUCAUAUGCUCCCAAUUGUCAGGAAGAUACCUUAUAACAGCCUGAACUUGCUGUUCAUCAGUAAGGGAGUGACCUACCGACUUCAGCUCACGAAUCAUGUUUGACAUCUCCCAAAGAUAUUGUCUCAUCAUUACAUUUGGGCGCUGUCGGAAUGUGUCAAACUUGAUGAUAAGUCUCCUUAGCUUAAUGGCAAAUGUACCCCCAAACUUAUCUUUCAAGGCAACCCACAUAAUUUGAGCUUUAUCAUAACUUUUAAACUCACACAUGAGAUCAUCUUGUAUACAGCUCAGCAACGUGAUGCGAGCAAUGCUAUUUUUCUUCUUCCAAGUUUGAUAAACUUAUAGAUCUCUCAUGUGUUGAGCUGAAGUUCCAUGUUCAGGUUUAUCCAUGAUAUGAUUGAGGGUUUCCAAAACCUCUUGCUCCUCAAGGAUGUACUCAACCUUUCGGUGCCAAAUAUCAUAAUUGUUACCGUUCAGCUUCUCACGCUUAUUGAGGUCAGUCACAAUGGUCUUGGAUGAUGAAGCCAUAAUAAAUUGCUAUAACACAUUGACAUAAUAAAUGUAGAAUCAAUACUAACACACUUUACAGAGUAACACACAUAUUUAAUUUGCAGCAAUGACAAACUAAAUUAAUGAUAAUUCAACAAAAGACACAGAAACAAUUGUUCUAUUAUCAUUAAUUAGUUUAAUUUGCGCAAAUUUUAAGUUCUAGGUGAGAACUCUUUCAAAUUCUACCAACCUACGAACUCCCACUAAGAAAAAUAAUUACAUAACCUUAUGUAAUUUCUACAUUUUUCCUUAACACAGAAACAUAGCAUGAUAUUAACCAAUGUAUAAACAACAAUCAUGCUUCAACUAUAAUCAAAAUCACAAUUCAACAUGUAAUGGAUUUCCUACCAUUGUUAGAAAUUUUUAGCAACUAGAAAAUCGCAUGUAUAUUAAACUAUAUACAUGAUAUCAUCAAACUAAGAUCUACAUAGCAUAUAUGACAUCAUUUACAUACAAACUAGAUACUGUAUUUCUUAAAUCAAAGGAAAUUACAAGCUACAAAUGAAUAAACUGCAUUAAAACCCAAAAAAUACGCGUACUUAGGGUUUCAUACGCAUUUUCAUACAUUUAUAAAAUUCAAAAGUAUAAAAUAAUUAUACCAUAGUGUAGAAGACACUCAUACGAACCAAACGCUACUGACCACGCUCCAAUCAGAGCUCCCACGCACAUACACGCGCCGCCUGAGUGCGUGGCGCGUGUGGCGCAUGCGCCAACGAGCCAAAUGGCUCCUAGCCGGUCCGACUGGUCCGACUAGUCCAACCGCUAAUCGGUCCGACCGUUGACCGGUCAACGGUCGGGUCGGGUCAGGUCAACCCGGGUCGAAUCUCUGGUCACGGGUCAUGUCGCCAGCCAGUGACCGGCCAGCCAACUGCCGUCGACGGUGAUGUCAUCGAUGACAUCAUCCUAAUGGUUAUUGACCGUUGGGUGACUUCACAGUGACGUCAUCACACGCCAGUUCACCGACUAGUGCAUGACGCACACCUGCUGGUUCGCUGACCGGGGCGUGUUGUGCACGCGCUGGCAUUCCCAGUGCUUCAGGCACAUGGCCUCCAUGCGCAGUGGCUUUUGGCUGCUUGUAUGGAUGCGUCUAGCGUCCUUUGGCGGCACUCUACCCAUCAACGAACUCGUCUCGAUGAGUACUUUCACCCUGUAUAUUUAAAAUUAAUUUUGGACAAAAAAUUAUUUCGAAAAAUGCCAAACCGCAUGGAUGCGCGACCUCGAAACCGUUCUUCGCUUCGGUUCAAAUUUGAGUUUUCAGAUUGCAAUUCCGACCAACAAACAUAAAAAACAAUGUAGAAUACAAUCUCUUGAUCUCAAUAUCAAAUGGUAAAUGAGAAAACUCGAUGAAAAACAAGGCAGAAAUCACGACCGUGCUCUGAUACCAAUGUUGGAAUUCAAGUCGGCGGAAGACGACUUACCUUUAUCCAAUGCGCAAACAACAAUUAGCCCCGGAACGAACGUUGAAUUGCGGAUGAAUCACGAACAAAAACACUUCACUUUGGUCUGAAUGCAAUUACGAGGAAAGCACCCGAUUUCCACAGCAUAAAUGCUGAUUGUUCUUUGUAAAAGUGAAAUGGAAUGCCUUCUUCUUUGAUGGUAAGGGAGAGAAAUUUUGGUGCGAAUGAUUUGUCGACCGGUGCCAAUGGUUGUCUACAUAAAACUUAUAUACGACACCUUUCAUACUCUUUCGAAAGUUAUAUUUCCAUCGUAACGUAUCAAGUUGAUACAGUGCGAUCCAAUUGCACCCCAUCAUGGACGUACUAGCUAAAGUACAACAAAGCGUUAUGGCAUUGCAUGCAUAACUUGACGGAUUUGUUGGAUUGACAGAUUAUUGCUCUUUGAGUUCCUUAGGAAAGCUUCAUACGUUGAAAUGUUUUAGCUUUUACUAUGUUUUUCAUUACCUUCUGGAAAUUUGCUGUCGUCUACUUUUCCUCGCUGAAAUUACCUGAUAAAGGAUGGAUCUUUAUUCAAACAUUUGCUUCUGGACUGAAGGAAUAAAAAAACUAAUGAUGGGAAGAUGACAGUAUUGUGCAGUUGCUUGUACUCCUGCAGAAAGUGAACAAUACUUAUAGAACUGGUUGUUCCUUUAGUAUAGAAUUGUUGCUUCUCCCAUGAUCAACCUUUGAUGUUUAGCUGCAUGGUAUCGAAGUGGUUGAAUUAAAGUUACUCUUCCACCUAUUUGCAUAAGCUAUCUGAUGGGUUGUUCAUGUUAUAACGUGAGUUCAGUGCGGAGGGGAAGAUGGGGAAAAUCACGUUUUCAGUUUCUAUUUAUGGCUUUUAGAUAAGUUGGAAGUGGCGCCACAAAUUUUAGUACUUGUAAGGACCAACAAUGCGUCUCAUUCGUGCAGCUGGUUUUCUCUUAUCAGCAUUUUGGGCGACUGGUUUGUUGACUUGAUUAUGUCAAUGGCCAUGCAAUAAGUAAAUACAGGAGUAAGAGUUUGUCCAGUGUCUCCCAUUCGAUGGAAAUAUUAAGAAUCGGGAGAUUCACAAAGCGUUUGGAUUGGUAUCGAUGUGAACCCGUAAACACCGUGCCAAAAGAUGCCGGCAUCUCCUGCUUAAAUUGAGUCCAGCUCCUGAAGAUUGUCCUGGUCGUCAAGUUCAUCCCAUCCUUCGACUAUGGCCGCUUCAGUUGCAUACAAAAGCUCGACUAUUUAACCUGCAUUUUAGCUUUCCUGCCCAAAAUUAAAGUGAGUUUGAGUGCUUCACUGUUGAAGGAAAGCAUUGUUGUGUACAUCUUGAUCAUCUUGCUCAGUGUUGUAGCGAGUGGAUACAAUGGACGGACCUCCAAAUCCUCCACCUGUUCAUCCUUUGCAUCGUAUUAUGGUGGCCAUCCGCCACCUCCGUCAUUCCUCGUGGCUGAUACAUGUCCAACACCAACACCAGGAUCCCAAGUGGCGCCAGUUUCUAGAACGCCUUUUCUUGGUUAUGGACAACAUCCUGUCUUACGUUGACCGCCAUCAGCUCCCCCCGGCCACGGUGCGCCGUCACAUAAGGGCUAACCAGCUUCAACCCCUCGAGCACCGCCAAUAUAUGGAUCUCCUCAACGUCCAUCAGCAUCACCUCUGCGAGUUUUUCAACCAACUCCGCCAGUUCAUGAACCCCCUACGCCGUUACUUCCUUCGGCUCCCCCAAGAGCGAUUUGCUCAGCAUAGGCAGAACGUCGACUUGCUCUACCGAUUCACAUACAACAUGUAAGUCCACCACCUCCUUAUAGGCGACCAAGCCCACCCCCGUGCAAUAAGUCAGGUCCCCAUUUUGUUUUCCUUUGCCCCUGUUUGCCACUUUCCUCACUAGUUGAAUCACCACUGCCUAGCUUCUUAUUUCCUUGAAAGAUGGGAACCAAUGAACCUGAUAACUUGUUCUUUAGUAUGACAAAACCAGAUUUCUUGCCAAACAUGGAGACCUUUGAGCUAGAUGAUGAUGCUGCUGACACCCCUGCCAUCUUUAAUCCAGCAGGUUCAACAUCAAAUGAUUGGUCAACCUUCGUGUUCAUUCUCUCUCCUAUGGUAGAACUGGAGUCCUAUUGAAGAGAUGAGCAGUAAAGUGGUGGCACUCAAAAGACUUAAACUUAAUUCACCUUGCAUGUUUGCAUACAAUAGUCAAAUAGACAAAGCGCUUACAUAGUCAAAGAAACAGAAUUUCCAAGCCAGUAUACAUUCAAGUUCAAGACAUUGGCAACGCUAUUCUUCUAAUUCAGCAUCCUUUCGAGGAAGAUAGAUGGCUCGUUCACAAGCUAAAAAGAAAUGCAAGUUGAGUGGUUUUCAUCCCAAAGAAGGUGCUAAGACUACCAAGUGUACAAUUUAUUUAUUUUUUUGUGGUAGAAAUAAUGGACGAUUUUUUUUUGGGUCGAGAAAUAAUGGACGAUUGAUGCAUCUUAAUCCAAACAAAGCUUGCACACGCCCUCAACCUACAGCAAUGCAAGCAAGGAGAUUGGAAGGAAUCUUCAGCUGAUCAUUAAUUGACAAGAGAAUAGAGUAAACUGAAAAGAAAUUUAGACCAUUAGUUCUUUUCUAGAGCUAGCAAUUGUUUAACUAGCUCAAGCAUUUUUCAUGUGGUAGUGCAUGGAGUAAUCAAUCAAGUGGUACCACAAAAACAUGCCCACUAAUUAUGAUCCAUUGGCCAUCAGCAAAAUUAACAUAUAGAUGUGGUGAUUACAAAGGUAACAAUAAUCAAGUCAUUCAUGAGGUUCAGCUACUUAAGUGUGCUUAGGCUCCGCAUGAGAACGUUUUUGUUCCUUCGGAUUUCUAUUUUUUCGUUCCCCGGAAUAAAUAAAUAAAAUAGAAAUCCGUUUGGUAACGCCAAGUUGUUUUUCUAUUCCUCGGAAUAGAACGUUAACCCAGCCGGUGGGCUGCCAGUGCAGGAGAGUGGACGUAGGCUUGGAUUAAGCCGAACCACUAUAAACCUUGUAUUCUUAUUCUAUUCCCUAAACUCUUUUACUUUACUUGUAAUAUUAUUUAACUGUUAGAGUCUCGCUUCUAUUUUAAAGUCUAUUGCUAAACAGACUUAGGUUAAACUUAAGGUUUUACACUGUACUUUGCAAAAGUUUGUUUUCGCACCUAUUCACCCCCUCUAGGUGCUCAUACUAGCAUUCACAAUUGGUAUCAGAGUCUGUGUACUCAUUUAAAUUGAAGUGUUUUUACUUCAGAGUUAACGAUCCAUGGUUAGUAUGUUAGCUCCAAGCUUGGUUGAAGGGUAAAGCAACACCAGAUCGCCAUACUUUGAUGGGAAGGAAUACAACAUAUGGAAAAACAAAAUGAAUGCAUUCCUAAGAUCGAAAGACCCUCUUGAAUGGGAUGUGGUAGAUAAAGGAAUUAUUCUAAAACUACAACAGUCUCAAAAAGGGGAAAAGAAGCUGUUGAGUCCAGCGAUAUGACUCAAGAAAAGAUAACCAAGAGACAAGCUCUUGAUGCAAAAGCAAUUUAUUCUUUAUAUUGUGCAUUAUCUCUUACUGAAUAUAACAGAAUAUCUUCUUAUGAAACAGCUAAAGAAGUCUGGGAUAGAUUACACAUCACCUAUGAAGGAACCGAUCAAGUGAAAGAAACCAGAAUCAAUAUUCUGCUCGGUCAAUAUGAAGCAUUCAGGAUGAAACCAGGAGAAUCUAUCGUUGACAUGUUUAGCCGUUUUACAGAAAUCGUGAAUAGUCUUGAGUAUCAAGGUCAAUCAAUCUCUGGACCCAUGAAGGUUAACAAACUACUACGUGGACUUUCCAAAGAUUGGAAUCACAUAAAGACCUCAAUAAUGCCACUCUCUGUUGACAAAUUGGUUGGCAUUCUUUAGUCUUAUGAAGUGGAGCAAAUAAAUGAAGAUGAGGAUCCCAAAGGUAAAAAAUCUAUUGCAUUAAAAUCUAAUGACCAUUCUGAUGUUACAGAUUCUGAAGACGAUAUGGACGAUGAAGAGCUUGCUCUCAUGAUAAGAAGGUUCAGAAAACUGAACAAGAAUGGAAAAAGAUUCAAUUCAAAGAAACAAAGUUCUCAAAAGUUUCAAAAUAAAUCAGUUGAGGAUGAUGAUUCCCAUAAAGAUGUGAUUUGUUUUGAAUGCAAGAAAAAGGGACACAUUAGACCCAACUGUCCCUUACUGAAGAAAAAUAAAGGAAAAGUUGAGAAAUACAGAAAAGCUCGCAAAGCAGAAACUUGGAGUGAUACCGAAUGUGAAGAGAGUGAUGAUGACUAUGCUAAUAUUUGUCUAACGGCAUAAUCAGACUCAGAUUCAGGCUAUGAGAUAGACUCAGACUCAGACAGUGAAAUUGAGGUAAGUAAUUUAAAAAUUCCUACUAAAGUCUUUAAAUAUAUUGAUGAAUUGUGUCUUAGUUUCAAAACCUCUCUCAAGAGGAUUUCUGAACUAAAAAGAGAAAAUUCAGUACUAAAGCAACAAGAGAUUGUUUGGAAAGAAAAAGUCGAAAAUUUGGAUAAAAGUGUCAUUACUUUGAAAGAAAAUGAAAAUUCACUUUCAAAAGAAAAUGCACUUUUGAAAAAUGAUAUCUCAAGUAUUUCAAAAAGGUUUUCUAUAGGUUCUGAGAAAUUAGAAAAGAUUCUUUCAGCACAAAGACCUUACUUUAACAAAUCAGGUUUGGGAAUGACUGCUGAAAUCAUUCCUCUAAUUGAUUUUCCUAAAGUAAAGAAAAGAAUUAAACAAAGACCUACAAAAGAUUUUUAUAGAAAUCAUUUUCGGAAAGUCUUUGUAAAACCUGUAGGCCGCAGUACUCUUAAAUGUGCUAAGUGCAAUAACUCAGAUCAUUUUGAGAAAGAAUGUCCGAUGGUUUGAAAACCUAUUAAGAAGGUUUGGGCAAAGACCGUAUAUUGCACUAACUCCAUUGGACCCAAGAAAGUAUGGGUACCAAAGAAAGCUUGAGUUUCUUUUCUAAAUGUAGGUAAUUAUCAAGAAAAAGGUUAAAUGGUACUUGGAUAGUGGAUGCUUAAGACAUAUGAUAGGAGACUCAAAUUGUUUCAUAAAGCUUGUGCAAGUUAAUGGUGGAAAAGUCUCUUUUGGAUGAAAUAACAAAGGCAGAAUUGUGGGAUACGGAAUCAUAAAGAUUGGAAGUCUCACAAUCAGUAACGUUUCCUUAAUGGAAGGACUUAACUACAACUUGUUGAGUAUCAGCCAAUUGUGCGACACAGGUUACAAAAUCAACUUUCAAGAACGAAUAUGUUCAGGAACCAGUAAAGACUCCCCUCAGACAUUCAUAGGGCGAAGACAUGGGAAUAUAUAUCUCUUGGAUAUCAAUCUAGAAAAAUCUCAAUGUCUAAUUUCAAUUAAAGAGGAAGUAAAUCUCUGGCAUAGAAAACUUAGGCACAUUAACAUGAAGCAAAUAGCCAAGAUCUUUGCAAAGAAGCUUGUUCGUGGACUACCCAACCUGACAUACCAAAAAUCUGAUCUAUGCACACCAUGUGUGUAGGGAAAACGGGUAAGAAAUUCAUUCAAACCAAUAAAUCAAGUUUUUGCUAAUCGUGUACUGCAAAUCUUGCAUAUAGAUCUCUUUGGACCAACCAAAACCCAAAGCAUUAGAGGUAAGAAAUAGUGACUAGUAAUAGUGGAUGAUUAUUUACGAUUCACUUGGGUAUAUUUCCUGGCAAGUAAGUCUGAAACCUUUUCUUAUUUUAUCAAAUUUGCUAAGAAAGUCCAAAAUGAGAAAGGGUAUGUCAUUUCAAGUAUACGGACAGACCAUGGAGGUAAGUUUGAAAAUUUAAGACUUUGCUAAAUUCUGUGAUGAAUCUGGUUUUCAGCAUGUGUUCUCCUCACCAUAUACUCCAGAACAAAAUGGAGUUGUGGAAAGGAAGAAUAGAUCAUUGCAAGAAAUGGCUAGAACUUUAUUAAUUGAAAGUAACAUUUCCUCUCGUUUUUGGGCUAAAGCAGUUUUUAUAGCGUGCUAUAUUAUUAAUAGAGUCUUCUUAAGGUUAAGGCUUAUUCUGGAGAAAACUUCCUAUGAGUUGUUCAAAGGAAAGAAGCCAAUUGUUUCCUAUUUUCAUGUGUUUUGAUGCAAAUAUUUUAUAUUGAAAAAUGCAAAUGAUCGAAUUGGUAAGUUUGAAGAAAAAUCAGACGAAUGUACCUUCCUUGGAUAUUCAACCACCAGCAAAGCUUACAGAGUAUACAACAAAAAGACUCAAUCUGUGGAGGAAUCGAUGAAUGUCAAAUUUCAAGACUUUAUGCAAAAUCAAUCGAUUCAGACCCAACCUAAAGAAUCUGAAUCUGCUCCAGACUCUACAAAAUCUAAAUCUCCAGAAGCAACUCAGAUUUCAGAAGACCAGCAACGAAUGAUCGUUGAAGAAUCAAAUGAAGAAAAAGAACAACAAUCUGACAAAUCAACCAGCAAUUGGAAGCACAAGUCUAGUCAUCCCAAAGAACUCAUUAUUGGUGACAUUAAUGAAGGAAUUCGUACAAGAUCCAAAAUGCGUGAAGAGUCUAGUGCUGUGGCUCUUAUUUCUGAAAUAGAACACAAGAGCAUAGAAGAAGCUUUAGCUGAUGAAAGCUAGAUUGAAGCUAUGCAAGAAGAACUCAAGCAAUUCAAUAUCAAUGAUGUCUAGGAAUUGACUCCUAAACCAAAAGGUAAAUCUAUUAUUGGAGCUAAAUGGGUUUUUAGGAACAAGAUGAACGAGAAAGGAAAAGUUAUAAGGAACAAAGCAAGACUCGUGGCCAAAGGAUAUACGCAAGAAGAAGGGAUAGACUAUGAUGAGACUUACGCACCAAUAGCAAGGUUAGAAACAAUUAGAUUAUUACUUGCUUUUGCGUGUUAUAAGAAUUUCAGGUUAUUCCAAAUGGACGUCAAAAGUGCUUUCCUAAAUGGAUUUAUCCAAGAGGAAGUCUAUGUGGAACAACCUUCUGGUUUUGAAGACCCAAGGAAAUCAGACUCUAUAUUCAGACUAAAAAAGGCACUAUAAGGUUUAAAGCAAGCACCUCGAGCUUGGUACGACAGGUUAAGUAAGUUUUUAAUUCAAAAUGACUUUGUUAAAGGUAACGUAGAUACUACUCUGUUUUUCAAAAGAGAAAGUAAAAACUUUUUACUUGCUCAAAUUUAUGUUGAUGAUAUUAUUUUUGGAUCACCUAACGAAAAUCUGUGCAAGAAAUUCUCUAAGAUUAUGCAGGAUGAGUUUGAAAUGAGCAUGAUGGGUGAACUAUCCUUCUUUCUUGGACUUCAAGUAAAACAAUUGAAGGAAUGAACUUUUAUCCACCAAGAAAAAUAUGCUAAAGAACUUGUUAAAAAGUUCGGCUUGGAGAAUUGCAAAAAGACUAAUAUACUAAUGUUAAGCUCCUUGAAGCUAGACAAAGAUGAAGGAGGAAAGAAAGUUGACCAAAAGUUAUACAGGAGUAUCAUUGGUUCACUUCUUUAUCUUACUGUUUCUAGACCUGACAUUUUGUUUAGUGUUUGUAUUUGUGCAAGAUUUCAAUCAGAUCCCAAAGAAUCUCAUUUAAGUGCUGCAAAACGCAUCAUCAAAUACGUUGCCUCAAUUUCCAAUUUGGGUCUUUGGUAUCAUAAAAAAUGAGACUUUACUCUCCUUGGAUAUUCGGACGCAAACCUAGUAGGAUGUAGAGUUGAUAGAAAGAGCACCUCGGGCACUUGUCAAUUACUUGGGAAUAGGACAGUAUCUUGGUUUUCAAAAAAGCAAAGUACUGUAGCUCUUUCAACAACAGAAGUAGAAUAUGUGGCUCUUGGAAGUUGUUGUUCACAAAUUUUGUGGAUAAAGCAACAGCUAAGAGACUUUGGAAUCGAAGACUCAUGCACUGAGAUCAAAUGCGAUAACACCAGCGUGAUUAAUCUCACCAAGAAUCCAAUUCUUCAUUCGAAAGCAAAGCACAUAGAGAUUUGACAUCAUUUUAUUAGAGAUCAUGUUCAAAAUGGAGAAGUCUCGAUUCAAUUCAUUGACUCAAAGAAUCAACUAGCAGACAUAUUUACAAAGCCUUUGGAGAAAAGUCAAUUCAAGCUUAUUCGUUCCAGACUCAAUAUCUUAAAGUCUGAAGAAGUUCAGACUCAGGGAUAAAAGUAUAAAGAUACUCAGACUCAGACGAUCAAGAUUCACGACUAUAAGUUAUUUCUAUUUUAGAAUUUUAUUUGUCGGAUAAAAUUUCGAAAAGGUACGAUCAUCUAUUAAUCUGUAAUUGAUUGAUGUUAUCUUCCCCAGUUUUCAUGAUUAUUGCAAUCAUUCCUUUUCGAAAAAGAAGUUAUCUUUUGAAAUGACGGUUAUCUAUUUUUCAAAAAGGUAGUUAUUUUUGAAAAGGCAUUUUCUAUUUUUCCUUUUACAUCAUUUCGUAUACCUCUUUUCAACUGCCUUAUAUACUGAUCGUCUUCCUCACAAACCCUAAAAGCACAGACCAUCACUUUCUUAUUUUUACUCUCUAGUUUAAUCUGCAAAGUUCUCACCUUUUUCGCGAAUCGAAUUUGGAAUCUCUCAAAGACUGUGAGAAUGGCUUCCCAAAGAAAGUCUUCAAGGAUAGCGAACAGGGGACCACAACACAUGCGUGAGGGUCCUAUGCAUUUUGAUCUCACCGAGGAAGAAGAAUCUCCAAGACAGCAGUAAAACCCUCAACAAUCUCAACCGCGUCAAUCUCCUCAAGCUAAACCUCAAGGUGUUGAUCAAAGAGCGGAGGAAGAAAUCAUUGAAGAGGCAGAACCUGUAAGAACUCAAAAGCCUGCUUUUAUCUUUAAACUUUACUCUACUUUGAAGAAGGGAGGCACUCCCUUAAACUAUAUUAAUGCAUUUUUGAAAGAGAAAUGAUAUCAAAAUGAAACCCACUUUUUGCCUAUAAUGGAACGAUUGGGAGUUGCUCCUGCGGGGUCGGCAUAACGAGCUUUUGCAAAUAUCCCUAGUGAUCCACGUAUUGGAGGUCUUAGUCAGCCUGAUGGGAAUGAUGAUGACAAAAUGUACACUCAUUUUAAGCCUAGAAUGGGUGUUGCAGCGAAUAUUCAAAGCAAAAGGAUAGACUUGUUUCGCUCGGAGGAACACAAGCGACUUUACUCCAAGUUGCUAAAAAGAGGGGUGAUCAAUCCAAGAAGUGUGGACUUUGAUUUUCUUGAUUCUUUGAAUGUGAAGCUGAGAGAGAAAUUCACUCAACUUCAGUUUGAGCAAUUUUGUUAUGAGACGACAGAGGCAUAUCGAGAACUUACUGCCUAUUUCUAUUCUAAUCUAAGUUUCUUGGAUGCAAAUAGAUUUUCUUUUAGUGUUCGAGACCAGGACUAUAUUAUUGACAUGGACACAUUGGCGGAUGUGAUUAGAGUAGAGCGAGGGGCAUUCCAAUCAAUCAAUGUGUCUGUUGGUCAUGCGACGGUAGAGCUUGUGUGUGAUGGAAUGGCAGAAGGAAAGAUUUCGUACUUGAGGAUGAAUGCCUCAAAUAUUUUGCUUCACAAGAUCGUGAUCAAUUGCCUCAGACCCAAAUUGACUUCGAAGACCGACGUCUCCAACUCGGAAGCAAAGUUGAUGUAUGCUAUCAACGCUGGCAAAAAGUUCUCUCUGCCUCACACAAUCUUGUUUCACAUGUAUAGAACGAUGCUGAAAGACAAGGGACAACUUCCUUACUUAGCGCUUGUUACAAAGUUGUUUAGACAUUUGAAUAUUCAACCUCCCAGGAUUCUGUGUGUUCAAUCUUGUGAUCAAAUGGUGGUAGGACUGAAAAAGAUUUCCAAAAUGCGUCUGAAAGAGCUGGACAAGGCUUUGGAGCGAUUAAAUGAGAAAACUCCUGUCAAGACUCAUCAAGUUUCUUCGGCUGCAAAACGGAAAGGGAAGAAGCCCAUGACAGCUCCAUCCAAGAAAAGAAGAGCACUCAUCCUGGAGGAUGAAGAGGAUGAGGACGAUAUAAUCAUUUCCGCUCUUGCAUUGAGAAGCUUACAUCAUUCUGUUUCAGUGACAGAGGAGAGAAAGGAUCAAGACAGAGAAGAGUUCGAACAAAGGAGUGGAGAGAGAGAAUCAAUGCAAAAAGAAGCAGAGGAAGAGAGGAUUGCAGAAGAAGAAGAAGGCAGAGGUGAACAAGAGGAAACAGAGCAUGAAGAGUACUUCUCACCGCCUGAAGGCAAUGAAACAAGGGGAGUAGUUGAGAAAAGAGGUACAUCUUUAAUUGCCUUUACAAGUGAAGGUGUUAGUCGUUCACCUGCAAAUCUAGAAGACAUCUAUGCAUCUCAAUUUCCAGAGAAAGGUCAUGAGAUUUCAUCGCCAAAUCUGAGUGAUCAUGCUGACUUGCCAUCAUCUGCCAAUACUCCUACUAAUAACGCAAAAGCUAGCACUCAGACUGAUAAUUCACCAAACUUUCGAAGAUUGCUUGAUAUUCUUAUGGAGAUGCGAGGACAGAUUUAUGCCCUGGGAUGUGAAGUUCAGAACUUGCAAAAUGCAGGUCAAGCAUCUUUAGUUUCCUUACAUGAUCAAAUCCAUGCCUUUGCUCUUCAAGUUCAGGCAAAUGCCAAGGGUGAAGAAGUGGCUUAACUGAAGGAGGAUUUGAAAAAAUUGAAAGGGAUUGUCCAGUUGAUGGGAGAUUUCCAACUUAUUCACGUUCCAAAGCAAUCUUAAUUUCAUUAUCUUUUUGUCUCUACUUUUUUCAUGUUGACAAAAAGGGGGAGAUGGUGCAGAUUUGAAUUGACUCUUGUUUGACUUGACUUUUGAUUAACUUUUACUUUUGUUUGGUUGUUUGGUUGUGACUUGAUUUGGACUAGGAUUGUUUGAUCAUUUGCUGCAGUAUCUUAAGCAUUGUUGGUAUUUCAUGGCAAAGAUAGUUGUUUAUUUACAGGACUAACUUUAUUAUUUCCUGUGGAUGCAGAUCUAAUGUUAUCUUUACUAAGCCAAUUAUCUUUUGUGAAAUAUUCAUGUUUGCUUGAGUAUUGUCUUGCAGGUCAAAAGUAUCCAUAUUUGCAGGAAAGUUUUGUCACCAUCAAAAAGGGAGAGAUUAUUGGAGAAAACUUCUGUAUUUGUUUUGAAGUUGACAAAACAUUUCCAUCAGUCUAGUCUGAAGACUUGUAGACUCUCUCAUCAAAGUCUGAAGACCGCCGAACCUCUAGACUUAAGAUUCAAAGUCUACCCUCAUCGACAGUUUCUAGACUGUCAAAGAAGACUUAUCCAGAAUUGAGUAUUUCUUUAAGGAUUUGAUUCUAUCAACUGAAGAAGAUCUCUCGACUGGAUAUAGCAUCUCGAAAUCUAUUAUUCGUUUUGAUUUCAAUUCGGGUAAUUUAGAUCCGUUGAUUGGCGAAGCAUACUUGGAAGGUUUUACUUAUGGAAACCUAGAUCCUGAUUGUAUGAGCGAGCAUGAUUGGUGGGCUAUCGUCAUGUUUAUUAAAUAACUCGAGAUCUCUCUAAUUGAUUCUGUCCAACGGGUAGAUUGGAAGAGCUCCUUUGGAAAGUGCUAACGGCUAUAAAGGCAUGGAGGAGUAUAUAAGGAAGAUGUUCUAGUUAUUCAAGUGUGUGCGUGAUAGAUAAAUUACAAAGUCUGAAACUCCUUGUUCUUUGUCAAUUCAAUUGUUGAGCGUAAACUUGUACUCAAAAGAGAGUUUAUACAUUUGUGAGACCUUGAGGAAGUGUAGCAGAGUCUCUACACUGUGGAAUCAAGGACGUGAUAUUGUAACGACUCUUUUGAUUCAUAGUGAAAUCCAACCGGUGGGCUAUUAGUGCGGGAGAGUGGACGUAGGCUUGGAUUAAGCCGAACCACUAUAAACCUUGUGUUCUUAUUCUCUUCCCUAAACUAUUUUACUUUACUCAUAAUUUUAUUUAACUGUUAGAGUCUCGCUUCUAUUUUAAAGUCUAAUGCUAAAUAGAGUCAAGUUAAACUUAAGGUUUUACACUGUACUUCGCAAAAAUUUGUUUUCGCACCUAUUCACCCCCUCUAGGUGCUCAUACUAACAUUCACAGCUAGUUCUCCAUGUUGGCCAUGCGUAUGCUGACAUCCUCAUUCUCCAUCCUGGCUUUUACGCAAGUACGAAUUAGAGAUCUCCUCUUAGCCGUGUUGACGGUCGGAUAAAAAUAGACAACCUGUUAGUACCUAAACAAGGAUAGAUAAGCAUAUAUAAGCAUUGAGUAAUGAUUAGGCGGUCGGUCCAUGACAAAGAUCUAAUCGCCUCAAUUUGUUCAUUUCAUUGAAAGCAAGAUUGCUACAUAAUGCAGGAGAAGACAUGAGGGAUACCCCCUAAACAACGAAGCUAAUCAUGACUCUUAUCUCCUGAUAUUGCGACACAAGACAAGUUCUUUAACAUUGUAACAUAUGUGGGUAUGGGCCCAUUACAUAUCACAUUUGACUCAAUCUAACUAACGAGGACAGCUCCCGCUUGUGGCAGCUCCACUAACUCGGGUCAACUUCGAGGUGCGCUCCUCAGCUUCUUCGAGCUUCCUUUUGAGGCACUUGAUCUCGGCUCGGUGGGUGGUCUUUAAUGGCACGUCGGGAAUUUUCGGGCGUAGGCUCUUUGGGAUUUUGUGCCUAAGGAUGUAUUCCAUCGAGGCAUAAUAAGUCUUCUUUUGCCCUUCCAACUCCUCUUCAGGCCAUAUUAGCUUCCGGGGGUGGCACAUAUCCCACAUCGACUUGACUAACACGACGGAGUCUUCGUGAUCUUGGCAUCUGUUAGGGAAGUCUAUCCUAAGUGGGUCUUCUUGAAUCGUCGGUGGAAGUUGUUGAACCUCUUGAAACUAGUGGGCAACUCGGGUCGGGUAAUACUCAGUGGCUAGUAAUUCCCAACAAAGGAACAAGUCCAGUAAGCCCACACACGAACCUCGCUUCUCAAACUCAGAGCCAUUUGGCAUGCCGUUGGAAAUCUUCGGGUCCAGGGUUGGUCAUGAAAACUAACCACUCAAAAUAAUGAUAAUUGGGGGCAUUCCAACUCAGGACCCUUUGCGAUUUUGAGAAGAGUUGCUCUUUGGAGAGCACAGUACGAUGAAAGUUGUAAGCUGUGUUUGGGGGGGAGUUAUUGUCUAUCGUUGGCCUUUAUGGUAGAAUCAGCCGGGGGGCCAAAGAGGUGAUGGUUUAUCCUGUGGCAGAUGUCAGCGGUUCGAGUCCACUUAUCUCCAACUCGUUAUCUCUAACUCGUGAACUUAGCCGAUACAAAGCUAUAUGAUAGCACCCGAUUUUUCCAAUUCGGCAGUUAACGUCUUCCUAUCUUUGAACUUCAGGAUAGGGUGGCUAGAGUCAGGGAUGUCGUUCACGGUCAUCAAGCUACCAAACCCCUUAACGUAAGAAAAGAACCAAAUUUGUAAGAGUUAUGGAGGAGUAUGGAAAGUUUUGUUUUUGUUUUCUUUAAAACGAGUAAGGGAAAGAAAAGUUUCCGUCAAGAUGGCGUUAACAAAGCCCUUUCCCAUACAUACCUCACGAACUACCCAUGCCACGGAAGGGUUAAUAGUGUUCCUACAAUGUGGGAAUAACACGAAUCCAAAGAAAGCUAACAGGAAGAUCCUAUUUUUUUUAAAAGAUUGGGCAUUUUGAAAAGGCUCAUUUAGGAAUGAAAACGGAUAGGUCUUGCGAUUGGCUUUCAAAAAUUUCCUCACGUCAUCCUCCUUAACUCUAAAGAAAUUAGAUAAGGUCGAUAUGCUCAAUCCCUACAAGUGGGCCAAUUAACUCCGACACCAAGAGUUUUCCCAUGGCAACACUGCAUUCUUCUAGGGUUGGAGUGAGUUCGUGGUCACUGAAUAUAAACGUGCAAGUCUUGGGACACCAGACAUGCACCAACGCUUGUACAACACCAUAAUGAGUUUCUAUUUCUAAGAGGGGAAGUAAUCGUCCGACAUAGGAUCGUACCCAAUUAUGGCCAGUCGGGUCUAGUCUAUCCCACCAUGUGCGAAGCUCGGCUUUCAGGGCAUCAAUGAUGUGAAGCUCGGGUAUCCCCAUCGUAUACUACUCACAGUUACAAUCAACCUAAUUUGCCAUGAACCAACCAAAAGGAAAGCAAAUAAGUAAAUUGCAAAGGAAAGAAUUCGAAAAUUUUACCCUACUCAUUGAGUAGCAAAGCCAAUGACAUAGACAUACACAUGGACGGUGGUUCAAUUUAUACUAUAAAUGGCUCAAAAUUGAGCCACAAGAUCACCGGACUGAACCAGCAAGGUCGCAGUUAGGUCGGGUUACCCAUAACUCCGACUUUGUCAAAGAACCGACCCGUUUCGCGCGGUUGCAGACCGGGGUGGGUACCUUCGACAUGAAGAAAGAAAUUUCGGGGUUAAGGUGGGCGACUCGUACUACGCGGUUGUAGUUGGAGUGGUAUCCACCUCAACACCAUCCUAGGUGAUCCUAUGUGGCCCAGGUCCGGCGGUAGGUUGUGUGUGCUAUGGUGUAGUGUAAUGCAAGAAAUGCAGACAUGACAAUUUAUAAACAAGGAACACUUCAUACAUACAUAAAAUUUAAAUAAAAUAAAAAAAAAACCAUACAUUUCUACACAUUUUGGCAAGACAAAGGUGAGCAAACACUUCCCCUUAUACCUCCCAUUCAGCAUGAACAUUAAACAACCGACAUGUUAGGGAUGUACUUAGGAUCCUCGCUACAAAACGAAAAUAUUUUUGAACAAGAUUAAUUUUGGCCUAAGUCCUCUAAGGUCUAAAACCAAAUCCCCAAUGGAUUCACCAAGCUGUCGCGACCUACCCUUAGGGGAGGGAAUAGGUUUAGGGGUAUUGCCUAAAAGAUGGGCCUAAGGCCCAUGAUUAGGCUAAGCUCUCCCAAGCCCAUACCCCGUGUGACAUUGGAAUAUUUUUUAGGAAUUUUGCAAUGAGGAGUCGCCACUAGCCUAUUGGGGUCAGCUAGAAACCAAGUGAGGCAUGGGAGUGCACCUCACUUCCUACAUAACUAGAGAAUCUAUAAUCGGGGACUUGAUUAUACUAAUUGACCAAUUAGUGCCAUUUCGGUACCUAAUCUUGUUCAUUGUAAGAGUAAAAAAAUUUGUCAGGCAGUUUGGAUUAAUUUUAUACCUAUCCACUAACAUGCAAGGUGAUCAUGCCGGUGUGCAGUAAAAUUGCAAUAAAAUUAAACACGUGCAAUUGAAUAUUCACAAACAUAAUUAAAUAUGCAAAUUAAACAUGCUAUAUAAUUAACAUACGAGCAAAUAAAGGCUUAAUUACACUAAAAAAAAAUGCAAUACAUAGCGAUUCCUAACCAAAUCCUACGUUUUUUAAUUUUCAAAAUUUUUAAUUUUUUUUAAAUUUUUUUAAAUUUUUUUAAAUUUUUUUAAAUUUUUAAUUUAUUUUUUAUCUUUUAAUUAAUAAAUUUUUUAUUUUACAAUUUUUUUUUAAUUUUUUUUAAUUAAUUUAAUUAAUUUUUUUAAAACAAUAAUUUUUUUUAAUUAAAAAAAAUUGGCGAACCAGGUUGGGUCUAGUUUGACCCGACCCGAGGUUCAGCCCAGUUGUUGCGGCUUAGGUCGGGUCUACGACCGAACCCGGGUUUGACCUGGCCGGGCAGGCUUGACCCGGGAUCCUCUUUUCCUAUUUCCUCUCUCUUUUUUAAAAAAAAAAGAAAAGAAAAGCCUAGCCCGAAUCGAAAUUAGACCUUAUUCCCUAAAAAAGAGAGGGGCCCAACCUAGCGAUGAAUCAUGCCAUUCGCACAGGCCUGAAGCGAAGCCCAUUUCCUAUUUUCUAUUUUCAGCCUUUUUGUGUUUUCUUUUCUCUUUUUCUUUUAUUUUCUUUUGCAUUUUUUCUUUUGGGUGUCUUCUUCGAGCCCUCCUCUUGCAACCACAGCUCGCCGAAGCUACUGCAGCUCCUCCACCGGACCGACACCGCCUAUGCCAUGAGUAUUGACCGCCCUAAAGAAAGUCGCCGGGCCACCGCCUAGUGUCGGUGGUUCUAUUCGACUGACGCCGAGCACCAUCGGCUACUAGUUAGUUGGCAUUCCGAGAGGCACUGGGUAGACCCCGGCAAGGCGUGCGCUUCAUCUCACCCAAAUAGCACAAAGGAACCUACUGAAAAGCUAGGAAAACAAUGAGAAUGGUGUGUGACAACAGUAUAAUCCCAAGCAACGCAGAGAAACCAAGAGCCAAGCUCCGAUCGAGGGUUGGGUUCGGCCGUUUCAAAGAGGCAUUUCGUCGAACAGCUAUUGGGCACUACCAAACUCAAAGGUUUCCGGCUCAACCGAGCUUCGAUGCGCUUUAGGGGUCUUCGAACAUGAUGUACGAGGAAGACGGGAGAAAAAUGCAAAAGCAACAUGGAUCAGAGCUCACGCGAACCGGUUGGCCGCGAGCUUCGAUCCGGCGUUUUCUAGAAACAAGACCAAGGGGUUCAGGAGACCUACCUUGUCUGGUGUUAGGCUACGGCGGACGAUGGCGGGCGAAAGGACCUCUGGUGACAACGAGCUACUCCCUCAAGCUCUUUGGUUCGAGCUCUUCCCUUUGAACUCCCACUCCGCCUCUCUGUGUGUUGCGGUCUAUUGGGCUCCGGUAGGGUUGGAGGCGAAGGGCGACUCCGGUAAUGAUCAAUGGCAGUGGUCGACCGUUCAGAGGGAUCCUCUCUUCCUCGCGCCGGUCCUCUCUUUGGUUUCUCCCUGUGUUUUUCGCUUGGUGUUUUUGUGGUGCCACCCCUCCGCUCUCUAUCCUCUCCUCCGAUUUUAUGCUCGGCCAGCGCGCGUGGCCUUUGCAGUUGCCAACUUGCCGGUCGGACUGCCCCCCCGACCCGCGGAUCACGCCACUCGCCUACUACCCCGAUCCCCUACUCUCAGUCGCUGCUCAUGCUUUUCUAUUCUCUGCAGGUCGUUGCGUGAAGGACAGCAGGAGGGAGAUGACCAGCUCGUGCGCGGGCUGGGCUGAAGGGAAAAAUAAAAACAAAGGCUAGGCCAGGCCUAGCACAAAGUAAAGAGGAAAGGAAAGAGAGGAAUGAGCCUACUCAAGGCUUGUCCGAACUUGGCCUAAUUGCCCCUCUUUCUUGUUUUCUUUUUCUUUUCUUUUUUUUUAUUUUAAAUUUUUUGUAAUUAAAUAAUUAAUUUUUUGAUAAAUUUUAAAACCAGUGAUGCAAAUGCUCCUAAUGUCUAUAUGUGAUGUGAUUUUAAAGAUUUUUUUUUGUUAAGGGGUUAGAAAUCAAUCCCCAAUUUUCCAAUGCAAUUAAUAAAUACUUAAACAAAUCACCAAAAUUUAGGUGUCAACGCCUAGAAAAAGUAUUUCAAGUUUUAGCCUAUUUAUACUUUUAUAAUUAGUCAAUUAAUUAUGUAAUAUGUCAAUUAUCCCUCCCUCAUGUACCGAAAAUAUCGAUCAUUAGAUGUCGUCUUCACAAAAACAAUAUAUCGAUUUCUUGUUUAGAGAAAGAUGAAUUAUUAAUGGAACUCAAUCAUUAGAUGCGACGUGUAUGUAUAUGAAACUUUGUAUUAUAGUGGUCCUAAAUUGAUACAGGAUUUUUUCUCGUUCAUAACACAAGUGAUUUGAUAAGCUCGUGAUAAUAUGAAGUUUGGAUUGUAUGAUAAUAAAUUCAAAUUUUUAUUGCAUUUUUUUAUUAAAAAAAGAUUUCUAGCUGUUCACAAUUCAUGAUGUAUAAUUACAGUCUCCUAUAUUAGUAACAAACGCUAGAAAACAAUUCAUCAACAUAAAGCUAGAGGAUUGUUUAAUUAUGUUUGGAUAGCAAUUUUUUAAAUGGUUUUUAGGGAAAAUUCUAAAUAAGGGUCUGAAAUGUUUUCAUUUUCUCAAAUGAUGGCCUGGAGUGAAUAUUGUUUCAAAUAAGGACUCAAACUGUCUCAGUUUUUUAAAUAAGAGACUGAAGUAGACAUUAUUUAUAAUAAGAAUCUGAAGUGACUAUAUCAAUCUCAAAUAAAGGCUUGAACUCACCAGUUAUGAAGGAUGAUUUCAUCUUUUUAAAAUUUCUCCUCUUUAUUUAUUUUUUUUGGUAAAAAAAUGAACUAAAUAAAACUAAAACUUAAGAAAAAUAAAUAAAGGGAAAAAAUAGGCUCCCUCCCGCCUGUGGCCGCCGCCCCAUCGCCAGUGGGGUAGUGAUGAUGGCAAGUAGGGUUGCUGGCACUUGGGCGAGGCCCAACAACCCCCGUCAAUUAGAGGCAUGGGCCUGCUAGCCCUAGUUAGAGACAAGAGAGGGCAACGACCCUCUAUCAAUCUAGGCAAGGGUCGUCAGCCCUCACAUUGGCCUGACGGCCCUCGCCUAGGGCCCCCAAACCUUACCGCCUAGGUUUGAAGGCGUUGGGCGAGGGCCUUGCCCAAAUUUAGGAGAGGGCCGCCACUCUCUCCCUACCCUGGCGAGGGCUAACAAGCCCUCGUUGUGCCAACCCUUACUCAAGCACUAGCAACCUCUUCGUGUGUUGCCGCGGCCCCACUAGCAAGGGGAUGUGCGGCCAAAGGCGGGAAAAAGCCCUCCCGUUAGUUAUUCUCCUUCCUCUUCUUUUUUUUUUUUUAGUUGUAAUAUAAUUAAAUUAAAAAUUAAAUUGUGUUGGUCAAAAAUACCCUUUUGGGUUUUUGCUAACCGGCGAGUUGAUGAAACUAGGUCAUUAUUUGAAAUAAUGAUAACUACUUCAAACCUUUCUUUGAGAUUAAUAUUCAGUGGCUUUCCCCUUUCAAAGUUUCUCUCAUUCUGUUAGUCGUACAACUAGUGAGCUAUGUCACACAGGCAGCUCUCCUAAGUUUUUUCAUUGGAUUUUGCAAGGAAAAAACUUUAGGAUCUUCCAUUAAAGUAUCGUGGAGACAAUAACAGAGAGCCCAACAACAUCCAAAAUAUUUGAGUAAAUGAUAUGGUUCCUUGUUCCUUGGAAUUCCAGUUGCUGGAGGAGACUCUUUCUGUGUAGAACGUGCUGAACUGACUCUUGAACUAUUUAAUUUACAUUGAGAAACUUGAGAACCAUUGCAGUGUGAGCUUCUUAUUAAGUGAAUAUUUGACUGGCUUGAAAGCGGUGUGAAGGUGUAAUGUCUCCUCUGCACACUCUUUCCCUUCGCUGAUAAACAAGGUGUCUUCAGGUGCAUGUAGCUUGGAUCAAGGCAAAAUUGACCGUGGCUUUUGGUCGGGAUGCUUCAAAACCCACAAGAAGCUAAGAUGAUUUGUUAAUCGAAACAAUCUAGCUCAAGAUGUACUACUAUUUGCUCGAUAAGUUGAAACGUCCAAGGAUUGAGAUAUUUAGUCCUUGGACCAAUCGCUCAUUGUUAGCUACUGUAAUGUUAGGAGGACCAAGGUUCUGAAAUUUAUGCAGGUCUACCUGCUUAUUUGCAAGGUAGACAUGUCAAAAUGGGUUUUAAACUUAUUUAUGACCCAAUUUUUUUUAAAUGGGUCAUAUGGGUCACUUCAAAAUUGAAAAGCACAACCUUAACGGGUUUUAAAAUUCAAAGGUUAAAAUAAAUGUGUCUGUUAAGCUUAAAACCCGUUUCCAACUUACUUGGAUUUUGAAAUUAUGUAGGUUCACUUGCUGUCCGCAACGCUAGAUAUGGAACUUAGCAUACGGAAUUUAAUCAUGUAAUAUUCAUUUUUAAUUGAAAAAGCAGUUCUAGGGAAUUGCUAUUGUGGAUCUAUGUGCAAAGAGCUCCUUGUGAACUUAGGAUGUAGAAUUUAAUUAAGUGAUAUAUCAUUUUUAAUUGAAAUAGCAGUUCUAGGGAACGGCUUCAGUGAAUUUAUGUGCAAAGAGCUUGUUGUGAACUUGACAGGUGGAAUCAAAUCAAGUAAUAUAUCAACUUUAAUUGAAAUAGCAGUUCUAGGGAAUGCCUAUUGUGGAUUUAUGUGCAAAGAGCUUCUUGUGAACUUAGCAUAUAUAAUUUAGUCAAAUAAUAUUUCAUUUCAAUUAAAAUAGCAGUUCCAGGGAAUGGCUAUUGUGGAUUUAUGUGCAAACAACGUCUUGUCGUGUGUGGAAUUACUAUUUGGACUCUGUUUCGCCUAAAAAUUUGAAUUGGAACUUAAACCUGGCAGAGAUGAGACAAAAGUUAAUUUCUUCCUUCAAGAACAAAUAUGUGACUGCCACUAAAUCACACAUCUUCAUUAGUAAUAAGCUUAUACCCGAUCUCCAUCUGCAACUACAAUUUUGCCUUCUAGCAGUGUAUAUCUAGAUUUAGUGUCCCCAACACCAUCACCAUACGGAGAUAACAUAAAUAUAUAGUAGACACGAAAUGCCAAAACUUUUAACACAAAAACGUUGAACGAUCGCAAAUUUAACAUUGAAGUUGCUGUGAACAUAAUUGAAUUUGGAGGUGGAGUAGUUUAUUCAUUAAAACUCCUAAAUCUAAAAUUAGAUUGGAGAGAAAAGCUUCCAGAUUUAAAAUCGAGAGAGAAAAGCUCCUAGAUCUAAAAUUAGAUCGGGAGUGCAAUAAAAGAAACAAAAGAAAAUAAAAGGCUGCCACAUUUAAGUAGUGGAAUUUGCAGUAAUUUCAUAGAGAAGAAGCAUACCUCCCAACCCUAAACAUCGCCAAACCAUCACUCGUCUCACAUCAUUAGUUGAACCAAGACAUGUGGAGGCCGAAUCAAUGUCACAUGCAAGAGCCAUACCAAACAUACUAAGAGAUGGAAUUUGUCAAAGCGUGCCUAAUUUAAAGCAGUGCCAUACAAUGCAAAGAAUACCAAAAAGUGGGGAUUUAGAAGAUAUUGAAAUUUGAUGCAUGAAUACAGUUUGAACAGCUAUGAUAGAAUUGAAUUCACAAAGCAUGCAACCGCACAAAAAUUUCCUCAAAACAGGCGGGAAUGUCCUCAGUUCGCCGCAGGAGCAGAAACUAAAAGAACAAAUUCAGUUCUACUCCGAACUUCAUUUCUUCAGGGUUGACUUGGGAGCUUUCGAGCGGAUAAGGUCUCGACAUGAUGCGAGUUAGAGACCUCACCCAGAAAGCUCGAGACCGAAGUCAGGUAAGUCAUUUCUUGCACCAUUGAAACAAACGAAACACUGCAAAUAAAACAAAGACAACCCUCCGGUGAUCAGUGUCAGAUGUCCCCCGAAGUUCCCCCAAACACUUCAGUAGGGCUGUAGUUGAGACAAUCCUUUAUUCUGCAUGAAGGACCAUGCGCCCCAAUGAAGUGAUCAGGGGAACUCCAGGGAACAGCUGACUCUUUUUUGCUCCUUUUCCUUCUUCCGUGUGUUUUGCCUGGAUGCUGAGGGUGCACUAAGUAAGGGCUGCUAUUUAUAAGGAUAACAUAGUACCGGUAAUUCCUUAGAAAAAGAAGGCUGGGUUUGGUGGAGGAAACUGGAAAAGAGGAGAAAUUUAUCAGUCCUAGGUUGGCCGAAAUGAACCUGGUCAGAUUUGCUGGGUAGAUCGAUAAGUGGGGAGAGGAAUCAUAUCAAGCCGAAUGUCCACAAGUUUUGUUGCUAUCGCCUUUUUUGGAUGUGAAAGUUCUGCGUUCAGAUUUCUGGCAUUUAAGAUGCUGGGAUUGCUUUCGGUGCUUCUGAAUAAAGGAUAAUUAGCCCUGGUAAUGUGGCGGAAAAUAUGAGUGACUCAAAUCCACAUGUUAGGUGAAUGACCUCAGAAACAAGUUUGAGAGGGUAACUGCAUGCUUUACAUCAAAAGCAAUGCCGGAGUUAUGAGUAAUUUGAUAACUUCACUUGUUUCAGAUGGUAUGGUGAUUAACCGUGUGCAAUGUCAUAUUUUAGGCGAGAUGCCAAUUACUCUAAAAGUCAAUUAUGACCCAAGUUAUGUUUUGAUUUAGAAAUUUUAGUCCGCCAAGAAUUCCUGUGGUGCAAGGAAUAGCAUGCUUUUUGAGAUAACAUUUGAACUUUUGUGUGGCAAAGGCAAAUCUCAUGAACCUAAAAAUGUAAGUGCAGAUUCUCUCUACGCAAGAAAUGAUUUGCUUUUUGGGACCUGGACCAUCUGAUGUGAUCAGAUCCAUGCAAUUAACAGAAAUGAAUCCGGUCGUCUUCAUGCGUCAGAUGAGCAGCAAGAAUAUUAUCUGAUGGCAUGCUGCCACAAGCUUUUUUUCUCCAUGCCAGCCUUGUCUUGCUUGCCCCAUCCGCUCCAGUCUUCUCUUUACCCUUACACUUGAGGGGCUCUUUCAUGCUUUAUUAGGUAUUGGAACUAAAAGGGGAAGUUAACACGAAAAUACAGAAAAUAACCACUAUAAAAGGAAACAGAAAGAGCUAGGACAAAAACCAGUAGAAUUACGAAUCCAUCAAUAAAAAUUUUGUGACAUCUCGUCAUAAAUGAUGUCUCAAGGACCGUAGAAUUACAAAUUAUAGAUAGUAGUUACAUCAGUCAAGGAUGUCUCGAACACUUUAAAGGAUUUCCAACUUUGAAUUAAUAGAGGUUUUCACUUAAACAACUCGUACACAUCUGAACAUCCAGAUCAUGCAUUUAUGUAGUAUGUCCAGUUGACAGAACCAUAUUCUUUGGUGGUAGGUGAAAUGGAACUUCAAUCACAAACACUUUUGUAAUCAUCUAAUGAAAACUGGAUUCUGAAGGCCAAGAAAGUGGAUGCUCGGUGGCAGAUGAAGCAGGCCGAAAAAGGGGCAAAAUUCAUGCUGAGCCACAGAUUAAUCACUAGAUUGUCAGAAGACGAGGAAAAAGCGACUUGAAACUGAUAACGAAGUAAAAAGGAAAGGAAUCGCAUACCACAAUAAUUCAUGUCGAUGCAUUCCGGGGACUUUCAUGUUGCUCAGAGGCACGUCUAGGUACAUGGCAAGAGCCUUAUCCCGACACACAAUGCUUCUACCUCAAGUGGAGCAGUUCCUAUAUAUAGAGCACUGCAUUGUUUCUUUUGCUCAUCAACUCAAGGCAGAUGACUCACUAGAAGAGGAGAUGAACAAUAUGAAUCGGGUGUCCCCAAGAGUUCCCCCGAACACUUCAAUGGGACUUUCUAUGAAAGCACUUCCCAAUGAAGUGUUUGGGGGAACUCCUGGUGUCGCUUGAUGCUAUAGCCGGAACUGAACCCAUAGCAGAAAACUCUUUUGAGGCAGUGUGUCACUGCACCCUUAUAUCCCUGCUAUAUCAGACUUCAUCCUUUGAUAUUCGGUGGCUUUCCCCUUUCAAAGUUUCUCUCAUUCUGUUAGCCGUACAGCUAGUGAGCUAUGUCACACAGGCAGCUCUCCUAAGUUUUUUCAUUGGAUUCUGCAGGGAAAAAACUUCAGGAUCUUCCAUUAAAGUAUCGCGGAGACAAUAACAGGGAGCCCGACAACAUCCAAAAUAUUUGAGUAAAUGAUAUGUUACUUAUUCCUUGGGAUUCCAGUUUAGGGUUUUUGGUGGUUUUUUCCCUAUUUGAAACAAUGAUAACUACUUCAUGCCUUUCUUUGAGAUUAAUAUAACAACUUUACGUCCUUAUUUGAAACAAAAUUAAUUUCAAGCCCUUAUUUGAGAAAAUGAUGACACUUCAUAUCCUUAUUUGGAAUUUUCCCUAAUUUUUAUUGAAAAACAUAGUUUGGGCAAUUAAAAAUAAAAUUAGUGACGUAAAAACAAAACCCAGUGUAAUCAAUUAUCUUGAUAGCCAAUUAUUUUUUCAUAAUUUAAAAAGCAAUUGUGCUUAUUUCUAAUUUCAGAGCAACAAGGAGAAAUUUCAGUGCCUAGUGGUCCCAAAUCUCUUCUAUUAAAAACUAAUAUGUAUUUUCUCCGUCCUCGUAAUGAAGUCGAUUGUGAUUCCUUAAAGUGUAUCUAGAUAUGUUUUUCUCUUUAAUAAGAUAAAAGGUUUUAUGCAUAAACGGAAAGACGGUACACCUUAGUAAACAACCUCUAACGAAACUACACUACUUCCAAAAACUGAUUGGGAUCUUGCAUUUACAAAGUACUAACUGAUGCCGUUAGACCACCAUCACCGUUGAUAGUAAUAACAAUAGUUGGUUAUUAUUAUGUUAUAGGGGCUCGGCUUUUUUCCAUUCAGUAUUAAAUUGACAUUUUCAAUUUUGCACUCUUAUAAGUACAAUGCAACGAGUCACUUAAAAAAUAAUAAUCGAGGUACAUUUGCAAUGUUGUUCCAUUUGUUUUCCUCUUUCCAUCAUGUUCUUUGAAAAACUCAGUUGUACCCUCACCACUAAUUGCAAUCGCUGCCAUCAAUCCCCGUAGUAAAUCUCCAACCACCGCAUUAUUGCCGGCAUCUCUCUCCCACAGCCGCACUCAUUCGAGAUCACACAAGGAUGAGCCCCGUCGUCAGGUCGGCUUUCGUGGAUCGAUCCGGGAUUGGGCAAUUUCAAUCUCGAAGUUUAUAUACGUGUGAUUUCUAGUAAAUCAAGAGGCAUUUCGAUCUCCGUCGGGAUUAAUAAAAAAGCAAACAAAUUCUCCGAUGGAGUGUCACCAUCGGGCAUCGUUCGAACAUGUCGGAAUCACGUCAGGAGUAUGCCCGAUUUCCAUAUAAGACGAGGCCGUGUGCAUCUAUUUUUAGCACGCAUUGGACUUGUACACGAACCAUCCCCUCUGCAGCGAAUUUCAUGAAAUGAGAGAUUUUCAUUUAUUCAUUAGAUUACUUGUUCUUUUUUUUUCUUUUUUUUUAUGACCAAGGGAUCACCAGAAAUCACCUUUCGGGAAUCACACAACCCUACAGCGAAUUUUAUGAAAUGAGAGAUUUUCAUUUAUUCAUUAGAUUACUUGUUCAUUUUUUUCUUUUUUUUAUGACCGAAGACCGCUGGAGAUCACCCUUCAGAGAUCACACGACCUUCCAGUGCUCGGUAGCACCGGUGGUGUCUCGCCACAAGCUAUUUAGACAAAAAUCCUCGGGGGCUGGCUUAGUAAACCACCCCGGGACCCCACUUAAGUUGCGAGCAUCCAGAGAUUUGAACUUGUUUCCUCUGCGAUGAGGUAAUAAAGUCCAACUAUCAUGGCUACAUACGGGUGGGUAGAUUACUUGUUCUUUUAUCUUUGAUUAUCAUUAAGAUCCAUUAAUCCAAAAUUGACGCCAUGGAGCUUCCCUCCGGUUUUUCUCUCUCUAACUCUCGUCUCCAUCCUCGCCCUCUUCCCUCCCCUUUCUCUCUCUAUCCCUAACCCUAGCUCCCCUCCGAUAGUCUACGAGCUCCUCCCCAAAUUCGGCCUCCUCGGCGGCCUGCUCCCGAACUCCAUCCGGUCCUACAACCUCUCCGACGAUGGCCAGUUCGCCGUCGACUUCGAGGGCCCCUGCUACGUCCAGUUCGACUACCUGGUCUGCUACGACCGGCAGGUCACCAGGAAGCUCAGCUACGGCUCCAUCACGAACUUGAAGGGGAUCCCCAGGUUCAGCGUUUCCUGUUCUGGCCCGACGUCGACGAGAUCGCGGUCGACCUGCCCCCCUCCGACUCCGUCUACUUCCAGGUGGGGUUCGUCAACAAGAGGCUGGACGUGGAUCAGUUCCAGACCGUCCACUUGUGCCGGGACAAGGUCGCCGGUCCGUGCAGCGGGUCGUGGAAGCAAGGAAUUGAGGUAAAUCCGCGAGAGAUCAUGCGUGUGGAUGCAUAAGUGCAUGUGUCAAUUUCUCUGGUGCUGAUUUUGAUGGUUUCUUCGUGGGUCGCAAUUCAUGUCUUCUUGGGUUCAGAUGGGUCUUGUGGCAUUUGGAAGUACAUCAAUUGUGUCGCUUUUGAGACUAGUAGUUGCUGCUGCUAGUUGUUCGCUUAUGAAAAAGCGUUAUGGCAUUGCAUGCAUAACUUGACGGAUUUGUUGGACUAACAGAUUAUUGCUCUGAGUUCCUCAGGAAAAGCUCGAAAUGUUUUAGCUUUUACUAUGUUUGUCAUUACCUUCUGGAUAUUCGCUGUCGUCUACUUUUCCUCGCUGAAAUUACCUGAUAAAGGAUAGAUCUUUUUUCAAACAAUUGCUUCUGGAUUGAAGGAAUAAAAAAAAAAAGGGAUAUGUUCAACAGAAGUCCUAAAACUUGUCAAUAAAGUGCAAUUGAGUUAUAAAACUUACAAAAAGUGUAAUCAAGUCCUAAAACUUGUCAAGUUGGUUCAAUUGAGUCCUUCCGUUAACAUCAUUAGUUUAUAUUAACGGAAAUUGCUGACUUGGCUUAUUUUAAUACUUUCUCUCUCCUACGUGGCAAUUAGGGCAAGAAAAAUUGUGCACGUCAGCAAAACGAUGUAGUUUUGUGGAUAUUGCCCAUUAUCAAAACGACGACGUCUCCCCCUCCGUUUUUUUACGACAUCUCCCCUUGCGCUUUUCGUCCAUCCCUUCUUCCCCUUUCGAAUCAACGCAACCCUAAACCCUAAAUCUCGAUGCAGAUCACCGGUGCCUCGCAAGUUGCAGUUCUUCGCCAAACGCUAGUGCAAGGACGUGCGACACUCGUCCCACAAGAGCCUUGGUGGUGGAUCGAGCGGUGCCGACGAUGAAGGCACUCACUAUGACCGAGCUUCACAACUGAUUUCCCUCAUAAGAAACGGGAUUCAUGCUCGAGUUCUGGACAAUUCCUAGAUGGUUAUCCUCUUCCAUCACCUUCUAAUGUCCUCGCCACUGCUGAUCAACACCAAUGGCCGCUCCUCCGCUUGCUUUGUCGAACAGUAUAGCAAAAACUUCAGCAGUAACUUGUAAAUGAGGCCCGUGUUCGUGAAAUUGAAGUAAGCUCAUCAGUUCUUGUUUUCGAAUCAUAACAAUUCGUGAAACAAAUAUCUUUUUCUCUUAAAAUAAAUUUGAUGCUUCUUUUAAUUCACCUACCAUAAAAUAGCCCUUUAGUAAAGCACAAUGAGAAGAAAGUGACAAAGAAGACUUAUCUCUCCGCACAGCCUCGUUAACUGCAGUUGCUUCAGUAAACCUUCUUGCUUUCCAAAGAAGAGGAAUUACAAAAACUGAAGCAUCCAGAUGAGGGAAUAGUCCCUUCGCUUGCAUGGUAUCAAAUAUACUUAAGGCUUCUAAGUAUUUCUUUUUCCUACAAAAUCCCCUUAUAAGGUGACUAUAUGCCCUAUACUCUAUUAAGCAACCCCUCUUAUGCAUUUCUUUUGCAAGUGCAUAUGCAAUGGUACUUAAACCUGCAUCGCAGAGUUUCUCAAAGAAGACAUCAAUAACAUUAGAGACAUGGAAGGCCAUAAGAGUGCUUUCAAAAAGCUCUAGUGCUUCACUGAUCAAUGCAUUUUGGAUAAGACAACUGACAAGAGGUUCAAGUUCUCUCAGUCCUGGAACCCACUUAGAUUCUCUAACCAGAUCCAAGCAACCACUUAGUUCUCCCAGAAAUCCUUGCUCAAAAAGACUUAUCAUAAAGAUGUUAUAAGUCUUGUUCUCAAUCAUAAAGAUGUUAUAAGCCUGCAUGUGUAAGAUCAUCCCUAGGCAGCAUAUCAAGUAGGAAAUAGCUACCUAACAACAGGCUGAGUUUAUAUGCACGAUGAUUGUUCAGUGACCUGAAAUAGGGAGGCUGCUCUGAUUAAUAUAAAAUAGGAAAGCAGCAUAUAUAAAAUGAAAAUGUACCUUUUCUGUGAUCGAGAGAUGAAACGGUUAUACAUAUUUCUGCUGAGUUGCAUUUUAGUCUAUCUUUUUUAGUAAAAAAAUUGAAAAUUGUCGAUUGACAUCACAAAUUAAUGGUAGAAUAAUAGCUUGAGAGCUAUCUAGUAUAAAAAGCUAAAAUGAAGGAAAUCUCUUGGCAAUGCUUACAUCACAAGAGUAAAGUGAUGCGGUUUUGUGCUAAACCAAUCUGUGAGAUAUGUUCCUGCUGUAAUGUCCCUUACCAAGUGCUUUAGUUAGUUCUGUCUGCAAGUGCAGGAAGGAUGGUGUGAUAGCGUCGGUUCUGUUGAACAAAUCCAAUCCAAAUUACAUUGUACAUAGAUCAUCACAUUGUAUCCUUAUCCACUUAAUUCACUCUUGCAAUCCGAUUUGGGAAGUGUCUCGUCUGUUCGCGGAAAUGGUUCAGCAUGGACUAAGAUGUAUAGCUUUUUGUACAUCACGUAAACUCUGUGAACUCGUUUUGUCCUAUACGUAAGUUACAUCAGAUAAGCAUUAUCUAUUAGCACUUUUGUGGCCUUAUCUAAUCCAGCAUUUAAGGCUGCUGUAAGAAUUUAUCAUCAAGUCAAAGAACGAUGGACUAAUAGGUGCUGGGAAUUUUUUUUCCUCGUUACCUUUUAUCUAAUAGGCAAGAGUUUCUUCGUGAGACAGCUCCAAAUCUGGUUGACUCAAUAAGUUCUUAUCGAUCUGGAUAUACUGCUGAGGAUUCUAAUGUGAAGUUGGUCUUCCUACAAACUUCCUAAAUGAGUUGUACUACAAUAGAUUCUGAAUAACUUGAAUGUUGUUGGUACUUAAUGUAUUCAAACAAUUUAUCUCAUUGCUCAAGAUACUUUUUAAUGAAUUAACUUGCCUUUAUUCUCCUAUGGUAUAGGUUUUGCUAGUUUGCAACUGUGAUAUGCUUUUUUAAUAUGGUGAUAAGAAGAACGAGGGCAACAACUUCUAAAUCAAGUGGUGUAACUCCUAAUGAGAUCGAAUCAGAGUUAACUUGCUAUUGUGGUCUUCGAUCACCACUUCUAAUUGCAAAAACAAAGAAAACGCAGGAAGAAGGUUUUAUGGAUGUGCUAAGUUUGAUGGUCCAGGUUGCUGCAAUUUCUUCAUGUGGGUUGACCCAAAAAUACCGGAUCAAGUGAGGGACAUGAUAGUCGAAUUGCUUGAAAGAAAUCAAGCACUAUCAAAGUCAAGCCAAUCUAGAUGCAACGACGAUUAUGUGAGCUCACUGAUAGCUAAAAUGAAGGCGCAAAAGGCGAAAAAUUGGACUUUUAAAGGAAGAGCUUGCACGAGUGAAGAAAGAGAAGAUGGUCUAUCAAUUGGGAUUUUUUCUAUGCAUGUGUUAUAUCAUUAUAGAGAUUAUAUUUAAUGUGAAAGCUAGUGAGAAGUUUCUGAGUCUUCCAUAGUACUUUGUUUCUAAGUUUGUAUUUAAUUACUUUAUCCCAAUUCUCUUUUGCCCUGUAAAAUUAGAAAACUCAUGUUGCGUGGAAAUGUAAACAAGCUUAAUUCAUUUCGUGUGUUCUUUUAGUGAAUGCUAUUUGGAUGAUGAUUUUUUUAAAUGUUCCAUCAAAGGAAAAAAGAUAGAGCACUCUCAUGUAUUUAUGGAAAUGAAGUCUGGGAAGCAGCAACGCAAUAGACAAAAGACAGAGCACACAAGAAUUUGAAAGCAAACCGGGCCUUUCAUGACUACAUACAGUUGAGUGUGGCAUACGUGUACUUUGAAAAAUAGAGAGGAGAUGGAAUUAGAUUGGAGCCACAUAUUACAGGAGUCUACGUUAAUAAUGCAGCAACUUAUUAAUGUCCUUCGAGGUGAUAUCUACGGUACAAACUUUCUUACAUUCUCCAAAGAUGGGAGAAGUAAAAAACAUAUGGUACCGUUGUUAAAAGCGAGAGAGAUUUACAAGUUAUUACAACUCCAGCAAAGAUCUUAGGUCAGAAGUUGGGAACUUGAAGCAACCCAUGAUAGCUGGAUCUGAUUUGUGAUUUGUCAUGUACAAAAUAUCAUUAUUGAGUUUCAAGGAAUCUGCAAUUUUCAAGCAAUCAAAAUAUAGCAGAUGAAAAGGCCAGACGGGUAGUGCAUAGAUUUGGUCACAUUCAUCAGAAUCAGCACAAUAAUAAUCUAUAGACAUUUUGAAAUGAGAAAAAUGUUUUGAACAUAGACUGCUUGAGUAAUAAGCAUGACCACUUAACUUGAAGUUUAUACAAAGAUAAAUGAAAGAUACUUAUUCCAUAAGUACUAGUAGCCUUGUGCAACAGAGGUGCUCAACAGAAAUAAAACUCCUAUUCAAACAAAGAAACUGAAAAGGAACAUGCACGUUCCACGGCAUGCUGCCUCAAAUACACGGAUGCAAAACAAAGUUGCUCUUUUAUUAGGCAGAUAAAUUUGCACAUUGCACUACUGCAGCCAAGAGGCAGAGACACGAAUAGGAUAUUCUCAAAUGUAUACAACAGAAGGGACGAGUCAUUAAACACAGUCCCAACACGUUCUUUGAUAAUUACAAAAUCACUGAAAUUGAUUGCUACAAAACACUACAAACCACAAACCAUAUAAGAAAUUGGCCAGCAAAACUAGCACCUAAGAUAAUGUUAAAGGAGAAUUUCUUGUUGCAACUUUCAUGAGACCUGACACAUUUAGCAAGCACAUCAAUCCAAGUCUACUUUCUCGGGUGGUCAAACUGUCUCGGGUGGUCCAGCAGGUUCAACGUGCACUUGAUUCAUAAGUCGUGAGCUUUUCAUUGUAUAUGGUGUGCCUCCUGUGACUCUCUUCUAAAUAAGCAUUGGGGGAGCAAUUGAAGUAUGAGAUGACUGAGGCUGUAAACUCACUGGCGGUUGUGAUGGUGGCUUCGGCUUCGGCUUUAUGGCAACAUGUUUUCGGGACUGAGGCUGAGAACUUGCCUGGGGGUGCAAUGGUGGCUUUGGCUUUACACCGAUGUGCUUUCGAGGAUAAGUUCUUAAUGCUUGAAGCUGCAAACUGUCUUGGAGUUGCAAUGGUGGCUUUAACUUCACAACAACAUGCUUUCAAAGAGCACUUAGAGAUGAUUGAGGCUAUGCACUGGCUUGGGGAAGCACCUUUGCCAUUGAAGCUCCCAAAACUACUCCUAUGUCUGGUUGUUUCAAUAAUCUUGUAUCAAUUGAGCCAAGUUACAAAAGAAUGGGUAUGUUUUUAGUUCAAGGAGACAGUCAGUUCCCAUUGUAAAGUGUUAAAACAUACUCACAUUGAGAAUUUGAAGGUUGUUUUUAGGAUUUGUGUAAACACCCAACCCUACCAUUUUCUUCUUCUUCAAAAUUAUGACUACCCUUGUAUCAUUUCCAUUUCAAUGGCAAGUCUUUUAAACUGAAAAAGAAAAAACAAAUCGAAUGUGAGAAUGUAAUCACAACACAUGAAUGCAUGGGUGGUGAUGUAUUACUCAUUGGGAUUUUUUGAGGUCUGCUGCUAGCUAUUGCAUUGGCUUGAGCAUGAAAAAAAAUUUGUCGUUGAUUAACACUAGCUUCAACAAAAGAAUUGGCAUGUCCACUACAUCCACUUACAUUAGCAGUAGCCCAACAUCCUCUUUCAUUUACACUAGACUGAGUAAAAGCAUUGGCUGAAUUAUCUUGCACUGGUCCACUAAGUUUUGUACAAGCAUUGACUAAAGUAUCUUGUGCUGGCACAUCAACUUGAGCAAAAGCAUUGGCUGAAGUAUCUUGUAAAUGUACACUGACUUCUGCAAAAGCAUUGGCUGAAGUAUCAUGUAUUGGUGCACAUCCUUCUACGAAAGCAUUGGCUGAAGUAUCUUCAAUUGGUGCACUAGCUUCUGCAAAAGCAUUGGCAGAAGUAUCUUCUACUUGUGCACUAGCUUAUGCAAAAGCAUUGGCUGAAGAAUUCGUCUGCCCACUAUUAUCUUGUACAAGUGCACUAGCUUCUGCAGAAGCAAUGACACGGCCUUUGGAUCCUCCUUGAGUUGUACUUGUCAUUACUGUAGCUUUAGCCUGCAUAUAUAUAUUCAUCAUUAGUAAAUCGAAACCUUCAAAUUUAUAACUUAUAAUCCAUGAAUCUAUCACAAAAUACUUGUCUUUUUUUAGGCCUUGAUCCAUUGGAAUUGGCUUGAGAUUGAGCUUCAAGUGCAUUUGCAUGGGCCUAAAAAGCACAUAGUAAGCAUUCAUGACAAGACAACGAGCUUAGAAUCAACAAAAUCAAUUAGUUAAGAAAUGCCUUUUUCAGAGGACAUUCUUUGCAAUUAUGUUCAACCAUAUGGCAAGUAGAACAAGUCAUUCGCUUACCCUCUUUAGUCAUUAUGUUCUGUCUUACAAAUUCAAGUGGUUGCUUUCUUCUACUUCUUUUUGGCCUACCAGACAUCUUUUUGAUCGGUGGGGGCUAAGGGGCUUCUUUAUUAGUUUUGCCCCAAAAAUUAUGUCCUUUCACAGUAGGCAUCAUGAAUUGAUAAGCACUUAAGUAUUUGUUCUUGUUGAAGCACUCGGCUAAGUAGUCACUUGGAUCAUUUUUCUUGUGGUGUAUUGCACAUAUAGCAUGGCAACAUGAAAUUCCACUAACUUCCCAAGCUCUACAAGAACAAGUCUUCAAAUUCAAGUCUACAACAUAUUUGUCACCAUCUUCCAUAAUCUCGUAUCUUUAAUCUCCAUUCCAUAUCAAAUGGCAAUAUCUACUAGCCAUUGUAUUCUGAUGUAACUUAUGCACAAUCCUUGGACCAUAAUUUCUUAUCCACUUAGCACAUGCAUCCCUUUGACUAUGCAUUUUAUUCAUAAUCAUGAUUCUAAUAUCUUCAAACAUACUCACAAUGGCAUUGCACCUAGCUUCCACACACCUACCAUUGAAAACUUCACUAAGAUUAUUAUCAACAACAUCACAUUUUAUGUUGGUGUCAAAGAAGGCUUUAAACCAGUGCUUUGGCUCAAUCUGGAAUAGAUCAUCAUGACCUUGUGGAGUCAUUUCCUUCAAUCUCUGUCUAUGCACCUCAAAAUCUGACAUAUUAGUACACUUAGCACAUCUCCAAAAUUGUUUCAUCAAUUACUUUCCUUUGUAUUUUUGACCCAAUUAGAAUAUAUAUGCCUCGCACACAUUUUAUAUUAUGCAUUUGGCAAAAGUUCAACUACUGAACGGAUGAGGCCCCGAUAUAUAAAAAAAGAAAAGAAAAUAUUAAUAUUGGAAAUCGUUAUAUACAUUGUUGCAAACAAAUUCAAGAUGAGCGAUAGUAGUAUUACAUACCUUUUGUUGGUCACUUAUUAAGGCCCAACAAAUACUAUUGCACAUGUUAAGAUCUUUUUUCAACAAGUUAAUAAACCAACUCCAUGUGUCCUUAUUCUCAAUUCUUAUAACUGCCCAUGCUAUUUGAUAUAUUUGAUUGUUAGCAUCCCUCCCCACAGCACACAAUAACUCACCCUUGAUUAAUCCCCUAAGAAAACAUCCAUUUAAUCCAAUGAUCUUUUGACACCCUGCCAAAAAUCCUUUCCUACAGGCAUCAAAGCAAAUGUAAGCCCUAUCAAAUAAUGGUAAGGAAUCUGGUAGUGGUCUUUCAACUUUCAAUUUAAAUGUGCUCGCCCGGCUUACAAUGUAAAGCUCUCCCAAGUAAUCGUACAUCAGUGCAUACUCCUUCUUAUAAUUGCCUUGUAAUUCCUUGAACACUUUUAGCUUUGUUCUCCUGCAUUGACUCACAGUGACAUUCACCCCCAACUGUUCUCUAACUAAUAUCUUCAACUGAGGUGCAUUGAUUUUAGGCAUUGCAGAAACACGAAUCAUGAAGUGUUUAGCUAAGAAAAAACUGGAAACUCUCUUAUUCUCAAAAGUGAUAGCACAUGUAUGCUUAUCAAUGUACUUUUUCAAAUGAAAUAAUCCGGUUUUGCUAUCGAGAGCACCAUAAAUCAUCCAGUUACAAUUAGCCUAGGCACACCUAGCUCUUACAAAUCCAGUGGUGUUCUUGGUAUAUUUAAUUGCUCUUUGCUCAGCCACCGAGUACCUCAAAAUUGCAUCUUUGAACUCACUUGAAUUUUCAAAUGUCAUACCAACAACAAAUACUGGAUUCUUAUCAUUUCGAUCAUAUGAUAGAAACCUACUCCUCCUUCUUGAAAUAACACAUUUUCUUCUUUUUCACUCUCAUCAUUUAAAUCUGAAUGAAGACUUUCUUCUUCAUUUGAAUCAUAAUACUCUAUUUCGUAUCCAGAAGCAUCCACCAUUAGAGGAUCAACUGAUAAUGGAGUUUGAGAGUCAAUGUCUAAUUGAGAAGUUUCUUCAAUGUUAGUUCCAAUUUUGAGUUUAUGUCUCGCUAAAAAUUCCUUUAAAUUUCUUCUUGCAUUAACCAAUUCAAAAUCAUCAUCGUCACUCGACUGUUCAGCAUCCACCAAAUUACAUGCAUCAUCAUUCUCAUCAUCCAAAUCCUUACUUUCACCCUCAACCUAAUUCCCAUCACCAUCGGCAUUUCCAAUUAUAUUUUCAAACACAUUAUCAGUCAGAUUGUUAACACUUUCCAUAUUCAUAUCAAACAAAUCUCCAAUUUCCAUCUCAACUCCCCCUAUCUUAGCAAGUGUUUCUUCAUCAUCGACAUGUUCAACAUACAAUUCAAUAUUUUCAGAGUGAAGAUGAUAAUAAAAUUGAUCUAUCACAUCAGAGUUAUCCCAUAAAUACCUAAGAGUUAUUCCAUCUUCAAGAAUAUUACAUCCAAGAACUCUAUAAAAGAUUUUUUCUAUUUUACGCCCACAUAGAACCUCAACAGCUUCAAUUAUGUUGGAUAAUGAACCCUUACUUAAGUCUACUUCAACAACAUCAGCCCUUCAAUCUACGUAUUCUAAGGGCGGUUCAACUUGAAAUUUACCUCCAAAGAAAACUGUGACAUAAACUUUGUUGUUGCCCGUUGGACCUAUAAAGGAAUAAAAACAAAUAGCACUUUCAAUCGUAAAAUUUCAACUAAAAACUACUAAUGACUUCACUUGUAAAGAAAAAUGGGUAGGGUAAACAUACCCAUGUUGAUGGAUGACCUUAAGAGUAGUCAACCCUCCAAUAAACUCAUUCCAAAUACAAGUAUUAGCAACCGGCAUCGACAAAAAAAGGAGCUGAAAGUGACAGUAAACUGAACUAAUUUAGAAGAAAUGAAGUCAUCAAAUCUUCAUGUACACAUCUCACAGAUUGGUUUAGCACAAAACUGCAUCACUUUACUCUUGUGAUGUAAGCAUUGCCAAGAGAUUUCCUUCAUUUUAGCUUUUUAUACUAGAUAGCUCUCAAGCUAUUAUUCUGCCAUUAAUUCGUGAUGUCCAUCGACAAUUUUCAAUUUUUUUACUAAAAAAGAUAGACUAAAAUGCAACUCAGCAAAAACAUGUAUAACAGAUUUCAUCUCCUGGUCACAGAAAAGGUACAUUUUCAUUUUAUAUAUGCUGCUUUCCUAUUUUAUAUUAAUCAGAGCAGCCUCCCUAUUUCAGGUUACUGAACAAUCAUCGUGCAUAUAAACUCAGCCUCUUGUCAGGUAGCUAUUUCCUACUUGAUAUGCUGCCUAGGGAUGAUCUUACACAUGCAGGCUUAUAACAUCUUUAUGAUUGAGAACAAGACUUAUAACAUCUUUAUGACAAGUCUUUUUGAGCAAGGAUUUCUGGGAGAACUAAGUGGUUGCUUGGAUCUGGUUAGAGAAUCUAAGUGGGUUCCAGGACUGAGAGAACUUGAACCUCUUGUCAGUUGUCUUAUCCAAAAUGCAUUGAUCAGUGAAGCACUAGAGCUUUUUGAAAGCACUCUUAUGGCCUUCCAUGUCUCUAAUGUUAUUGAUGUCUUCUUUGAGAAACUCUGCGAUGCAGGUUUAAGUACCAUUGUAUAUGCACUUGCAAAAGAAAUGCAUAAGAGGGGUUGCUUAAUAGAGUAUAGGGCAUAUAGUCACCUUAUAAGGGGAUUUUGCAGGAAAAAGAAAUACUUAGAAGCCUUAAGUAUAUUUGAUACCAUGCAAGCGAAGGGACUAUUCCCUCAUCUGAAUGCUUCAGUUUUUUUAAUUCCUCUUCUUUGCAAAGCAAGAAGGUUUACUGAAGCAACUGCAGUUAACGAUACUAUGCUGAGAGAUAAGUCUUCUUUGUCACUUUCUUCUCAUUGUGCUUUACUAAAGGGCUAUUUUAUGGUAGGUGAAUUAAAAGAAGUAUCAAGUUUAUUUUAAGAGAAAAAGAUAUUUGUUUCACGAAUUGCUAUGUCUCGAAAACAAGAAUUGAUGAACUUACUUCAAUUUCAUGAACACAGGCCUCAUUUACAAUUUGUUGCUGAAGUUUCUGCUAUACUGUUCGACAGAGCAAGCGGAGGAGCGGCCAUUGGUGUUGAUCGGCGGUGGUGAGGACAUCAAAAGGCGAUGGAAGAGGAUAACCAUCCAGGAAUUGUCUAGAACUCGAGCAUGAAUCCUAUUUCUUAUGAGGGAAAUCGGUUGCGAAGCUCAGUCAUAGUGAGUGCCUCCAUCGUCGGCGUCGCUCGAUCCACCACCAAGGCUCUUGUGGGAUGAGUGUCACGCGUCCUCGCACCAGCGUUUGAUGAAGAACUGCAACUCGCGAGGCACCGGUGAUCUGCGUCGAGAUUUAGGGCUUAGGGUUGCAUUGAUUCGAAAGGGGAAGAAGGGAUGGAUGAAAAAUGCAAGGGGGGAUGUCAUAAAAAAAAAAAACGGAUGGGGAGACGUCGUCGUUUUGUUAAUGGGCAAUAUCCACAAAACUACGUCGUUUUGCUGACGUGCACAAUUUUUCUUGCCCUAAUUGCCACGUAGGAGAGAGAAAGUAUUAAAAUAAGCCAAGUCAGCAAUUUCCGUUAAUAUAAACUGACGGUGUUAACGAAAUGACUCAAUUGAACCAACUUGACAAAUUUUAGGACUUGAUUGCACUUUUGGUAAGUUUUAGGACUCAAUUGCACUUUGUUGACAAGUUUUAGGAUUUCUGCUGAACAUAUCCCUAAAAAAAACUAAUGAUGGGAAGAUGACAGUAUUGUGCAGUUGCUUGUGCUCCUGCGAAAAGUGAACAAUACUUAUAGAACUGGUUGUUCUUUUAGUAUAGAAUUAUUGCUUCUCCCGUGAUCAACCUUUGAUGUUUAGCUGCAUGGUAUUGAAGUGAUUGAAUUAAAGUUACUCUUCCACCUAUAACGUGAGUUCAAUGCGGAGGGAAAGAUGGGGAAAAUCACGUUUCCAGUUUCUGUUUAUGGCUUUUAGAUAAGUUGGAAGUGACGCCACAAAUUUCAAUACUUGUAAGGACCAACAAUGUGUCUCAUUCAUGCAGCUGGUUUUCUCUUAUCAGCAUUUUGUGCGACUGGUUUGUUGACUUGAUUAUAUCAAUGGCCAUGCAAUAAGUAAAAUACAAAAGUAAGAGUUUGUCCAGUGUCUCCCAUUCGAUGGAAAUACUAAGAACUAAAACAUUCACGAAGCGUCUGGAUUGGUAUCAAUGCGAACCCAUAAAUACCGUGCCGAAAGAUGCCGCCAUCUCCUCCUUAAAUUAAGUCCAGAUCCUGAAGAUGGUUGUCGCGACUAAAAUUUCGGGUGAACCACCUAAAAUUAAGCUAAUGGAUUACUAAGUCUCACUUAGGCUCUUCCAAGCCCAUACCAAUUCGCGACUUAGGUUCAAAUAUUUCACAUGCAAAAGGGAGUUGCCACUAGACAGUUUACAGUAGGUCGAUUAGAUACUUAAGUAAAAUAAUGGGAGAAUUAUUUUACUUCUACGAAUCAGACAUUGUGAGUUUGGGGACUUGAUUACGUUAGAUUUCUUUAACGCCCUUUCGGUACCUUUCUCUUUUAUUUCCGAAAAAAAUAUUUUGCAGGCAGCUUGAAUUAAUUUUAAAUCUAUCUCCCUAACAUGUGAGCUGAUCAAGUAGGUGCACAAACCACCAAUUUAACACCCAAGAAAGUAACGAAUAAAUUGCAAAACUUACCUUAUAGCUACGAAAGCAUCUGCGUUGUUGAUUAGAAUUCACAUCAACGGUCCUAGAUAUGAUUUCUAAUUAACAAACAAUCACUCAAUUUUUAGUUUUCACUUAUUCAAUAAGAAUCUAAUCUAUAUGCAAUGCCAUGCUACUAAUCUAACAUGAAAUGAUAUUGUAUGAUAAUAUGACCUAAGCUAUAUGACAUAAGUAAAGUAAUUUAUAAAGAAACGCAAUAAUUAAAUGUGUAAUCUAAAUUAACCAAAUGACCUAAUUCUAAUGACGGGGAAUUUCUAAUUAAAUGAACCUAGCAACAAUCACUAAAUGACGUACAUUUCAUGAACCUAAUCCUACAUGACAUGCGCAUGAUUUUUAUAUAUAUAUUUUUUAUGAAAAUUCGUAAUUAAAAUUGCUAAAAAUCAAAAUCUAACUAAAGCAAGACAUUAUCUAUUUUAAGUUAGGAAUAGAUCAAUCUGAAUCCUAUCUUAAUCUAGAAAAUUAUCUCAUCAUGCAAUCCAAUCCAAAAAAUAUUAUCUAACCUAGAUACUACAUGCAUUUAAAAAAAAAAAAAACCUAUUUUAUCAUGCAUACCUUAUCUAGGAAACAAUUCUAAUCUACAUGGAAUGCAAAUGCAAUUUUUUUUGUAUUUCGGGGAUAAAUAGAACAAUUGAAAGAUAAACACUAAAUCAUCCAUGGUCAUCAUAAAUGUUAUCCACCAUUCAAAUUGAAAUUCAAACUUGAUUAUUUCACUAAUAAAAUCAAUAAAUUGAUCUUAAACCUUAAAGAUCAAUAUAUCAAUUUUACUCCUGCAUGAAUAAUUAUUCCAUCUAAAGCCUUAUAAAUGAAAUAAAAAUUCGUGCGGUUACAAAUUGAAUGCUACAUCAGGGAUUUCCAUCGAGAAAUAUUUCAAACCACGAGACAAAAUAUAUAUAAAAAAAAACAAACUAACUAAAUAAUAAUAAAUAAAUCUACCUAAAAAUAAAGUAAAUCUCUAACUAAAUUUGAAUUUUUUCCCAAAAUCCGAAUGGUAUAAUGGGCUCGGCGCGGUACACAGCCCAAGGACAGUGGCUGUGGUGGUGGGUCGCCAAGGUGCCCGUGGGUGGCUGGCGAGACUAGAAAAUCCUGCUAAAAAAAAUCAUCAAGAGAACGAAAUUGUUUCACUAAGCUUCUCGGUUGAGCACGUCAAGGAUCGAUCGUUCUAUUCCACUCCAACUCUUUUACUUUCUAUUUAUUAUUUUUUCUAUGGAAAGGUCCACGAAAGAGAUUAGUGCAGGAGAGAACUUCAGCAAAUCUACGUGCGAUGGAAUGCUCUUGGACUUUUUAUUUUAAUCUUCAAUCCACCACUUGACUUUUGUCUUCUUAUCUUCUACCAACUCUCGGCCAUCGACGGUUCAGCAGUGUGGAAUGGACUGAGAUUGCGAAGACGCCAGAGAAGACAAAAGAACUUGCCAAUCGCAAGAGAAAUCAUCAAUAAUCUGAAGCUCGCUGGACCGCUUUGAUGUUCACUUCAUUCGCUAGAUGUCCCGGCUGAGCAGCUCUCGGUGACAGGAGCAGCAGCAACUGGUCAUCGCUGAAAGUUCAGCAGCGGUUUAAGGAGGCAAUAGCAAGUCGCCAAGGGCUCGCAGUGCGGUUGGGACUGGUCAACAUGCAAUGUGCAGACGUUGCAACGCGUUGAUGGGGCUUUGCAGCAACUGCACUCUCGUCGAUGCAGCAAGUCGUCGGGAACAGCAGGCGGCGCUAGAGUCGUGGCCGUGUGGGUCGAUGGAGUGGGAUGUUUGGCUGUGAAGUGUUCAGCCGUCGUCUCCCUUUCUCCUCUAUUCUGAGUGCCGACCCUCUCUUCACGCUUUUUCUCCUUGACUUUUCUCUCUAAAGUUCUUUCUAUGAGGCCAUGUAUUCAAUGUGUGGCCACCCGAAAACCCUACACGUUUUAACCUAUUUAUAGACGACAGACUAGGGUUUUUUAAGUUUCCAAAACCAUAUCCAUGAAUAUUUCUUUUCCAAACGCAAUAUUCGCUUUUUCCAAACUCAAUAUUCGCUUUUGAAUUAAAAUCUCACAAAGAUAAAUCCGUAAAAUCUCCCCGAUGAUAUGGGCUUGGGCUGAUUUGCUUUCUUUGUGGGCUUAGCCCGACUCAUUAAAUUAAAAAAAUUUUAACCAUCAAUUCGAAUCCAUCCGUCACCGGUCCAAUGUAAAUGCAAAUUAAAAAUAAAUGCAUCUAAAAUUAUAUGCUAUGUAAUUAAUAUUUUUUCAGGGAUAAAAUUAACCCAUAAUUUUCUAUGUAAUAAAUAAAUGACCAGAUCGUCAAAAUUCAGGUGUCAACAAUGGUCCUGAUAGUUGAGCUCAUCCCAUCCUUCGAGUAUGGCCACUUCAGUUUCAUACAAAAGCUCGGCUCUUUAACCUGCAUUUUAGCUUCCUGCCCAGAAUUAGAGUGAGUUCAAGUGCUUCGCUGUUGAAGAAAAGCAUUGCUGUGUACAUCCUGAUCAUCUCGUUCAGUGCUGUAGCGAGUGGAAAUAAUGGACGGCCCUCCAAAUCCUCCACCCGUUCAUCCUUUGCAUCGUAUUAUGGAGGCCAUCCGCCACCUCCGUCAUUCCUCAUGGCUAAUACGCCUCCAACAGCAACACCCGGAUCCCCGGCAGCGCCAGUAUCUAGAACGCCUUUUCCUGGUUAUGGACAACAUCCUGUCUUUACAUUCACCGCCAUCAGCUCCUCCCGGCCACGGUGCGCCGUCACAUAGCGGCCAACCAGCUUCAACCCCUCGAGCCCCGUCAAUAUAUGGAACUCCUCAACGUCCAUAAGCAUCACCUCCGCGAGUUUUUCAACCAACUCCGCCAGUUUAUCAGCCCCCUACGCCGUCACCUCCUCCGGCUCCCCCGAGAGCAGUUUGCUCGGCACCACCAGGACGUCGACUUGCUCUACCAGUUCACAUACAACAUGUAAGUCCACCACCUCCUUAUAAGCGACGAAGCCCACCCCCCGUGCAAUAAGUAUAUAAAACUUUGUAGUUGUAAAUAAAAUUAGUCAUGUAAAAACAAAACCCAGCGUAAUCAAUUUUCUUGAUAGCCAAAAAAAAAAAAAAAUUCCAUAAUUUUAAAAGUAAUCAUGCUUAUUUCUAAUUUCAGAGCAAGAACGAGAAAUUUCAGGACCUAGAAGUCCCAAAUCUCUUACAUUAAAAACUAAUCUAUAUUUUCUUCUUCUGGGCAAUAAAGUCGAUUGUGAUUCCUUAAAGUGUAUUGUUCUUGCAUUUCGACAAAAAAAAAAGAGUGUAUCGUUCUUUCCAAUUCAGUAAUAAAUUGACAUUUUGAAUCUAGACUCUUAUCAGUACAAUGCACUGAGUCACUUAAAAAUUAAUAAUCGAGGUGCAUUUGCAACGUUGUUCCAUUUUUUCCCUUUCCCUUCAUGUUCUUUGAAAAACCCUAUUGUACCCUCACCACCAAUCGCAAUGACUGCCAUGAACUGCCGUAGUGAAUCUCCAACCACCACCAUUAUUACCCGCAUCUCUCUCCCACGGUCACACUCAUACGAGAUCACACAAGGACGAGGGCCGUCGUCGGGUCGGCUUUUGCGGAUCGAUCCGGGAUUCGAGAAUUUCGGUCUCGAAGUUUUUAUACGUGCGAUUUCUACUAAAUCGAGGGGCAUUUUGGCGAAACCGAAAUGGUCAGAAACUUUCUCCAUCAGGACUAAUUGAAAGGUAGAAUAAUUCUUCGAUAGAGUGUCCUUAUCGGGCAUCGUUUGAACGUGUCUGGACCACGUCGGGCGUAGGCCCGAUUCCCGUAUAAGACGAGGCCCGUCUACAUCCCGUUUUCAGCACGCCUUGGAUUCAUACACGAACCUUCCCCCCUCUGCAACGAAUUUCGCAAAAUGAGAAAAAUUUCAUUUAUCCAUUAGAAUACUCGUUUUUUCAAAUCUUUGAUCAUUAAGAUUUAAGACCCACUAAUCCAAAUUCGACGCCAUUAAAAAAUCCGGAGCGCUCGGGGGAGAUUCCCUCCGGUUUUGUCCCUUCCCCAUCACGGCACCUCGUCUCGUCCCCCAUCAAAGCCCCGCACGACACCGUUUCUCCCCCCGCGUAUAAAAUCCGGUCCCCAUCACUUCCGUCAAUCCAUCCCGUCUCCGUCCCUUCUCUCUCUACCUCCGCCACCAACCAGUCCUCCUCCAAUGGCCGAUUCCUCCCUCUUUCUCUCUCUAGCCCUCGCCUCCCUCCUCGCCCUCUUCCCUCCCCUUUCUCUCUCUAGCGCUAGCCCUAGCCCUGGCUCCCCCGCGACCGUCUACGAGCUCCUCCCCGAGUUCGGCCUCCCCGGCGGCCUCCUGCCGGACUCCGUCCGGUCCUACGAGCUCUCCGACGACGGCCGGUUCGCCGUCGAGCUGGAGGCGCCCUGCUACGUCCAGUUCGACUACCUGGUCUACUACGACCGGCGGGUCACCGGGACGCUCAGCUACGGCUCCAUCACGGACCUGAAGGGGAUCCAGGUGCAGCGGUUCCUGUUCUGGCUCGACGUCGACGAGAUCAGGGUCGACCUGCCCCCCUCCGACUCCAUCUACUUCCAGGUGGGGUUCGUCAACAAGAAGCUCGACGUGGACCAGUUCCAGACCGUCCACUCGUG